rnacentral:lncRNA from 1 species
UUGAUUUUCCCCUUCACACCUCUCCUGGUUCCCCUAACCACAGAGCCAACCAAGAUUCAAACAGAGGUGCCCGCUCCGCCUCCCGCCGAGCCUCCACAAUCACCAGCCGGCCCAAUUUCAGACUCCACCUCUUCUAACAAAUGGGUUUUCGUGGGCGUCGGCCUUGGAGUUGGUAGCUUUCUCCUUCUUUCCCUUUGUGGGCUAGUUUUCUGUUUGUACAGACGCCGGUUCAAGCCACCUCCACCAACAAAGAAGAAGCCAUCUGAGUCUUCCGAGUAUUCGGCUCUUCCCGAACAGAACAAAUCCUGGUCUGUUUCUCUGUCUUCUCACGGGGUUCGAUAUGCUAUUGAAUCCUUGACCCUCUACAAAUUCGAGGACUUGCGGAGUGCCACCGGAAAUUUUAGUGAAUCCAACAGAGUCAAAGGCUCCGUUUACCGGGGAUCGUUUAUGGGAGAUUAUGCAGCCGUGAAGGUGGUGAAAGGUGAUGUCUCUGGUGAAAUUAAUCUACUGAAAAAGAUAAAUCACUCGAACAUUGUCCGACUUUCGGGGCUCUGCGUCCAUGAUGGAAAUACCUACCUCGUUUACGAGUAUGCAGAAAAUGGCUCUCUCUCCGAUUGGCUUCAUUCCCAAAAGCAUGAGACCUCCUUUACUCUGUCAUGGAAGCUGAGAGUUCAGAUUGCCCGUGAUAUAGCUGAUGCCCUCAAUUACGUACAGAACUACAUCAACCCAUCUCACAUUCAUAAAAACUUGAAGUCCAGCAACAUCCUUUUGGAUUCAAACUUGAGAGCCAAGAUAUCCAACUUCGGCUUAGCCAGAAGUUUAGAAACGAAUGGAGAAGGAAAUCUUCAGCUGACAAGACAUGUAGUUGGAACUCAAGGUUACAUGGCGCCUGAGUACAUCGAGAAUGGAGUGAUUACCCCUAAACUCGACGUGUUUGCUUUUGGGGUUAUCAUGUUGGAGCUUUUAUCAGGGAAAGAAGCUGCGACGAAGAAAAAGGAAGAAGGAGAAGAGUUGUUAUAUACAUCCAUAACCAGGGUUUUCCAAGGAGACAAUGUGAGAGAGAAACUAAAAGGGUUUAUUGAUCCUUGUUUGGGAUCUGAAUACCCUUUGGACUUGGCUUUCUCCAUGGCUCAUCUGGCUAAAAGAUGUGUUUCUCAAGAUCUUAAUCUUCGGCCUUCAAUGGCCGAAAUUCUCAUGACUCUGUCCAAGAUUCUGUCGUCGUCACUGGACUGGGAUCCAUCUGACGAGUUCAACCGUUCUACCUCUCAAUCCAGUGGCAGGUAGAGCGAUACUCCCACUCAUCGCCAAUUACACUCUCCAUCGCAUACCAAAGCUUUUUGAAAGAAAAGAUGGAAAUUUUGUUAAUAGAGAAAUAUUUAAUCCUCACUCUCCAUCGUGUUAUCAACAGUUAAUAAUCCCAGAACAUGCAAUAAAUUCAGAAACUUUUCUGCUACUACUAUAAUCUCAUACAUAUAUAUAUAUAUGACAGGCAAUAUAUCUUCUUGCUUGAUUAGAAAACUUUUGAGGGGAAGAACGAUUAGAAAAUAUUUUAGUUCAAAUUUAUUGAAUUUAUCAAUGAAUUACACUAGCAGAUAUGGUGCAGUGUAUUUCAUUUCACUAAGUUCAAAUGUCUUGUUGCUAUUGCAAGGAUUUGGAAAAAUUUUAAUAAAAAUUUAUUUCAGUAAGCUAAAUAAUUAAGAGUAACAGGUCCGCUUUUAUUUCAAUUUGAAUACCUUACUUCUGCAACAUUUUCCAUUGAAACAAAGCAAAAUAAUUGACAACUAGAAAAUAGAUUGAUCCAAGAAAAAUUGAACGGAACAAAAUAAUUUUUGAGAAUCGUGACUUUUAAUUUUUGACCAGCAAUAGUAAAUAAGUUAAAUUUUAAAAUUGGACCUACAGAAAGAGUCCAUAUUUUGUAUGUACACCCAUGCAUAAAUUACAAAAAUAAAGAAUUGAAAUUAUUUUUUACUAUACCCGAUUUACUUUAAACAGCAGUAAGCCAAGCAAAAGCCCCCACUUGGCCACGAGGGCACUGAAAUUGUUUACAAUCUUUUGUAGAGAAAAAGAUUCCAUUGAACUCCACAAGACCCAGGAAAUCAGUAAAAGUCCUAAGAAAUCAGACUAGGAAGUAGAUUACAGGAGCUCCACAUCAUAUGAUGUCACACGAUACAGACUGAAACCAGUGGGGCAAGAUUAUCUCCUAAGAGUUUCCUCCUGCAUGUCAAUACUAUUCAUCAAAUAGGUCAAACAAAUUAUAUAGUCCAGAAAAUAAAAAGGCAAAAACAAUUCAAUAAAGUUCAUAGAAAUUUACAUACUUUGAGUUUCCAAUCACUGCACGAGCUUUUGCAAGAUCUUCCAAUACCUUGAACAAGAAGGAUUUGUAUGGAUUGCGCGAAUAACCCAUUUCUCCGGGCUCUGCCAAGACUCCACGGUAGAUGUACAUUUGGCUUCAUCUUUCAACUGCCGUGCAAGCAAAUGCAUUUGAAAAAAGAGUUCCGCUGGCCUCAUUUCUGGGAAAGUAUUCAAACAACUUAUUACUUAUUUAUUGAUUGAUUGUCUAUUUUAUAUGGUAACAACAACUGAACCCAAAAUAAAGGAACUAUUUGUGUCUACUGGGCAGACAUCAUCUCAGUGUCAUAAGUGAGAUCUAUCAACAAACAACCAUCUCCGUUGACACUCCAAAUAUUGAUAAUUCAGACAACCGCCUAUAAAUUUCUUAUCUAACACACUGAACCAACUAUUGGGUUGUUGAGUGAAAUUUCCAACUAAUUAUUCCUCUGAAUGAGAAAAUAUUGUAAUAUUUUGAAUGAAGCAUAAUUUUUAAUCAGAUUUCUUUUGCCCAAAACUUCUGGAAGUAACUGCCUCUUGCUCCUGUUCCUAGAGGUAGUAGAUUGAUUAACAUAUGGUUUCAGAUACAAAUACUUUAAAUGGAUUAAGACACACAUGCACACAUGAUAAUAAAGUCAAACCUGGUGGCCAGGAAAACCAUUCAAGACGGAGGUUUUUUUCCCAUUUUUCUCUGGAUUUGAGACUUCCUUCUGCUUGAGCCAACAGUGCUGAGGCAAUAGGCAGGGGAACAGUGGAAUGAACUUGAGCUUUGUUAAGACUCCUUAUAGCCCGUGACAGGAAUUGUGAAUCACAAUACUGCCGUGCAAGUUCCAUACAUAUGGCACCUGGACCAUCAAUGAUGAAUUUAAGUCAAGAGAGAAAAUGGAAAUGGGUAUGAUUGAGAGACUUUUUUUUUUGAGAUAAAAGAUAGAAUAGGUAUGAUUGAGAGACUUGAUAUUAAACUGAAAAGAAAAGUGGCCAGCACUCAGCAUCCUUUCCCUAUUGCAAAUUCGUCAAUGUUAAACUACUUUUUCAACAUAGUUACUCCCUUAUUAUCGGCUCUAUGAACCUAAGUUCUAAACUAAUGAAGCAACUGCUUCAGAGGACAAACAUCAGUCAUGAAAAGGAAUGCUACCAGAAACAACAAUAUGUGAAAAGUAAUUGAACAAAAAAGAACAUUUCUCCUUGAGCUUCAGAAUAUGUUAUUUAAAUUUAGUGAAACAUUUACUAAUACAAUCUUGGCUAAAAAAAUGCUUCAUGCAUGGUAACAGUCCCAAGAAACAUGGUUAAUGAAUUGAUAGGUACCAUGACACAGAAGAAGACAGCUCUCAGAACCAGCCAUCAAACAAGCUUGUGCAAGAAGCUCUUCUGCAGAAAGAAAGUCUUGGUUCCAUAUGGAAACCAAACCCAGCACUAAAUUAAAAACAGCCAUCCACAUACUCGGUGAACUUUUGCCCUCUGUUGAGCAUUCCUGAAAGUACAACUCUAAGAUACUCCGAUCAGCUUGGACACCAUAUUGAGAUCCAACUAGUUUUAGACUUAUCCAGCCAAUGUGGUAAGAUGUCUUAAGAUGCAAGCAUUUUUCAUAUUCUUCCUGAAGGUUUCUAAAGUCACCUUCUAUGGCAUAGGCACGACAUAAUUGCAAAUGUGCGAAAAACAGGUAGCUAUCAGGAAGUGAAAAUGUGGAAGCAGUUUUAGCAUGGUUGAUACAGUCUAGGACAUUCCUGCAUUGCAAACUCAUCUCUGAGGCACAAAGCAGAAGCUGAAAACUUCGAUAUUGAUAUGAUGUAUCUUUUUUGGAAUAAAUUUCAUCGGACAGAGCCACAGAUAUUAGCCGGUCAAGCAUCCUACAGAGAUGUUGUGGAAAUCUCUGUUCACGUGCCUUCUGAAACAAACCAAGUAUAAGCAAGAAUCUCGCAUUAUUGUUCCAAGGUUCUCGGCGUAAGCAUCUAAAAAUUGAAACAGCCAAAAAUGAUUAGUGAAGGAAUCAUAUGAGAAAAUUCCAAGAAGAACAGCAGAAGAUUUGGAAAGCAAAAUAAAUUUUUAGUGGAAACUAUGCAUUCCUCAUUUAAUUUCUCCUGAGUUAGGAAGAGGACAAUUUUCUAGAGAAUUAGCGAACGACAGAUUUUGGAAUUCCGAGGCAAAAGACCAAGCCUUUUUAAGGGAAAAAAAGUGUUUCAUGACAAAUUAUCAUGAAUAAGGAGACAGAAAUAGAGGCAAUAGGGAAAUGUUAAAUACUUUUGCAGCUCUUGGACAGCAACAGGUCCAUUCAGGCCUUGGCAACUGCAUGUUGGGAAAGAAAACUUUGGAUCACCAUUGCCACUCACAUUGCAAGCAACUGUUCCAGUACCAAAGACCUCCCACGCUGACUUUGGACCUUCCUUACAUGGAUAGUAAGAAGCAUCUAUGGUGUAGCACCUACUAGAAGUAUGAUUAUCUUUCACUUCUUCACUUGAUAACAAAAGAUAAGCGAGGAUGUUCCUGUUUCCAGCAAGUUUCUGUCAGCAUUAAGAAAGAUAUAAUAAUUCAUGUAACUGUAAGUCUCACCACCAAAAACAACAUCAACAACAAUGUGCGUCAUCCUGUAAAAUUAUCAAAUUAGCCAAAAAAAGACAUUCUCAACAACCCUGAUAGUGCCAAAUAGUGCAUUUGCACAAACAGUUGGUAGCACCCAGGCAGGUAAAAGAAUGUCUAUCUAGUUAAUAGGGGCUACAUAAAUAAAGUCUAAUCCCCAGGAUAGCUUAGAAAUUUUGCCUUACUCCAGUUACUGGUUCAAAAUUUACCUUAUCAAAUUACUAUUAGGGUAAAUGUGAAGAGCCUUUCUAAGGUGAGCAACUCCGCUAUGAUAACCGAGGCAAUGUCCAGAUCCACGUUUAACCUGCAAAUGAACAUCAUCUAAUCUGCUGAAACUUACAUCCCAUAACACAAAAGCAGCUUCUAACAUUCAGAAAACUCUGACGCCAAAAACAAAAGGACUUACAAGUUCACCAAGAGCUAUCAAGUAGUGCAUUCCAAUGCUCUCUUCAUGAGAUGCAUCAAUGUAACAAUUGCUACAAACAAGUGAGUGAAGUUGAUCAUUUUGAUCGAGAGCAUGGAUGGCCAAUACUAUAAAGCUAAUUUUUGAACUCUGAAAAAAUUCUUUUGGCAUCUUCUGAAUGCUAGUGAUUGCUGAAUUCAUUCCAGCAAUGUAGUACAGUAGUCUACAGAUUAAGCUAACAGAUGCAUCUGCAGAUGUCCCUUUCAAUGUAGAAACACUUGCAGCAAGAUUUCUUGUGGCAGAGAGGGCCUGAUCAUGCUUGCCAAGUUGCCAUAAAGAAAGAGCAUAUAUUUGCAAACCUUCCGGACCAAGCAUACCUUGAAAAAACGAAAGACAAAAAACACUAGCACCUGGUUGUCAACUUAUUCAGAAAAUCAAAUCCAAGAAUCAAUUUCUAAUCUAUAGUAUGUCUAAAAGUACAAACUAUGCCAGGACGAAACUACUUCUGACUAAUAAUAAAUGCACUAACAUUAGUUGCCUAUUUGUAAAUUAUUUUCAGUAUUAUGUGGUCUUAAACAAAGUUUUUCAAACAAAAUCAUUAAUGUACUCUUUUCUGCUGAAAUCUAUCUACCAGGAGAUAAUAUUAUAACUUUUGAUAUUACACAUUUUAUUCUAAAAUUCUUUCUGUUCAUUUUUUAAUAGAAAUUGUCCCAUUUUUUUAAUUUUAUUUUUUGAACUCGUAUUAAGAAAUAAAAAAAAAAUUGAUGACGUGUUAGAAUCGACAAUCGGUGAACAUUGCCGUAACUCUUUUACAAUGGCUUGUUAAUAAAAUGAUCUAAAUUAAUUGAUAGAUGGUUUAUAUGUAAAAAGAAACAUUGCUAACCUUAUAUAACCCUUUGACUGUUUUUUGGGUCAUUUGGAGAGAGCGGAAUGGAAGAGCUUUUGAUAGCAUAAAGAGUAAUUCUAAUAGAUUAAUUGAUAGAUGGAUACACUUGUUUGGGUUAAUUGUGCUUGCUCAUGACAUCAUUAAUGAUGGGGAUUUUAGAGAUGUCAUUGAUGCUCUAACUUCAUUGUAGAGGUUUUGUACAUGAAUGGUACCUCCAUUUUUGGUACCUUAUAGAUAAUACUUUACACUUUUUAUUUAAAAAAAAAAUGAUCUAAAUUAAAAGAAUCAGUCACGUUUCAAAACUAAUUAAGGUACAACAUCCUAACAAGACCUAAUUAAAGAUGUCUACAUCAAUUUUAAUAUCAGUUCUAAUGUAUGCUUUGAUAGACAAUUAACCAAAAUUUUGAUAACUAAUACAAUAUAUGAAAAUAAACAGGUCAUAGUUCAGCUCUUUACUCAGCUAACACACGGCAACCAGAAGUUGCUGCUUAAAUGUGCUUGGAAGCAAAGAAACUGUUAUAAACUGACAUCCAAACCUUUGUUUUUUAAAUCUUCACAUUCUCGCACUGCAUCUGCAGCAUUCCCUACCUACACAGAAAAAACAAAAUCUGAUAAAGAUUGGCAACAUAAAUAUAUUACAUUAUGCAGAAUGUUUAGCUGAACUGCACAUGUUUAAAAAUGAGCUCAAAAAAAUAGGAGAAGGAAGGGGAGAGAAAGAGAAGCUCUGGUACGAACUUUGCAAAGUGUUCUGGCCAAAUUAAUUGAUAUGUCUUGGAAAUUUGCAGCAGGGACAUUACUGAAAGAAAAACUGAGCACGCAGCGUGCGAGCCGGUACGAAGUAAUAGCAGCAUGAUAAUUUAAUCUUGCCUCAAAAACUAGCCCAUGAAGAUUAUGUGCUUCAGGAUAGUGAGGAGCACGCUGCACCGCAUGCUCGAUAGCUCCAAAGACCUGUGAUAGCAUUGUAAGUAUUUACAUUGAAGUUCGAUGAACAGAAAGUAUUUAAACUCCCAAAAUGACCCCUUGCAAACAAUUUUUUAAUGGUAAAUUGGGGACUUGCACUAAACCAAACCUGUUAACAAUCACCAGUCGGGGUUCAGCUUGAUUAGAAAAAACUUUGAAAACUCGUGAACAUGCUCAAGUGUAUCUAGAUUAGCCCAUAAUACCAUUACUCUUGUAACAACCAUCCUUCUGACUUUUAAUUGGAACAAUUGCUUCCCUGUACUAUCAUUGUAACAGAUAAAGCAUUUAAUCAACUAUAAUUUAUUAUUAUAACUAUGCUAAACUCAUUAUACUUUCCAUUUCUUUUCAAAUCAUGAAAGGAUUAAUGAUAAUUUACCUAUUAAUCUUAUUUUUCUACCAUUAAUAUUAUACCUACUUUCAUUUCUUUCAACAGCAAUAUUGUAAUGUUAUUUUUUUAUUCAAUUUUUUAUUCUAAUAAUAAUUUUAUUGUUAUAUAGACAAUUGGAUUCGUUUGAUAUGAAAAAUAAUAAAAUUAAUAUAAGCUUUUAGGAAACUAUGGUGAUGUCAUAUAGAUAAAAAGAUAGCAAAGCAUGUUUACACUGAAUGAAAAAGAAAUGAUACAACCAACACAGCUCAGCUGAUUUAAGUGACGGAGGGUUAGACUCCUAUAACGGCCUCCAGGUUAAUUAAAAAAAAAAAGAAAUGAUACUAACUAAUAGUAUAUAGCUGAUUUAAAGUGCUCAUUACUAAAAAAAAAUUAACUAAAUUUUAGACAUUUUAGAAUAUGUAUUUCCCUUUAUGUGUUUUUUCUUCAACUUCUAAUCUAAAAUCUACUGCAGCAUUUUCACACUAUCAUCUAUUGUAAUCUCUAGUUAUAGAUCAUUAAGUGUCCAACAUGCACACCAAGCAUCGGAUAGAUAUCCCAUGCCUACACACUAAGCAUUUUGCAUCAGACACGGUAUAGCACAAGAAUCAGAGAGUCCCAGCAAAAUAGGCCUUUAUUUUAUUAAUUAGAAAAUCAAAAUUUAAUUUAAAAAUUAAUUUCUAGGACUAUGACUGAUUCAAGAAUAAUCUAGCACAAAUUCAAAGUCUGUACCGAGCUUAACUCAAGCCAAACUGAGCUUUAAUAUGCAUUAUAGGAAUUAAACUCGAAGAAAAGCUGAAACCAAAUUCCAAGCUGAACUAAAAAUAUGUAGUAAACUAAACUGAGCUUAGAAGUCAAGUACUUAAAUCUACUCGAUUGGUUUCUUCUCCUAGUUGUACUCGUACCUGGGGUGAUGAAGGUUCCCUGAGAGCAAAGCAAGCCUACCAAGGCCAAUUUCAAACUCUGCAAGCUGCAAAAAAGCCGAAUACAAUACUUCAGCACAAAAUUUAUACUCAUCCAACCUGGACAAUAUAGAAUUAUGAUUCAACAGGACAGGACUUACAGGCAAUAUUUGUACAGCUCGUAAACAGCUCUCAAAAGCCUCAUCUGGUGUGGGCUCCCUGGGGAGUAGAUCAUAAUGUAAAACAAGGUUGCGAAAAAAAAAUUAUAUGACAUCAAGACAGCUAUUGUAAUCUAUGUCAAGUAAAAUUACAAAUCCACCUAUCAUAACUAUCAGCCGAGCCCGCCCAUGGUAAUGCAAGUGAAGGAUCUAUACUUCUCGCACAGUCAAAUGCUUGCUUUGCCAAUUUAUAUUCAUUCUCUUCUCUGUGAACCUGCUCGAACACAUACAGCCUAUUAAUAUUAGGGAAAAUGUUUCAGUUGGUAUUAUGAUAUAAAAUUCCCAAAAGACCUGAAUUUGUAAUAUGCUACAGGAAUGGCAUUCUAUUUCAUCCUGAAAAAUGAUAAUAUUGUUAAAAGCUUUUUUUAUGUUUGUUUUCCUGAAAAUUAGAUUCUUAGGGAUUAAAUAAAUUAGGCUGACACCAAGAAAAUCCAAGGUAAGCCCAAAUUAUUCUCAACAAUGGUGCUCCACCUUGUAUCAGAAAUAAUUAACCUGUAAGUUUAUUUGGUCAGAAAGGAAGAAUCGAGUUAAUUCAUUCAAAUCAAAAGCCAUAUUACAAACUAGCACUAAUGUGGCAAAACAUAAUAGCAUUCGAAUAAGGUGAUGCUGUGAUCCUAUUUCAUCAAGAGAUGAUAAUCAGCUAAGUUGUGCUUCCUAACAAACUUUAAUUGGCAUUACAAACUCAAGAAAACUAACAAAGAUAUCUUUCUGGAGAAGUCAACGAUGAAUCCGAAACAAAUAAAUAGAGGCAGAUUUUGAAAACAUGUGAUGGUACCUUCCCUAGAUAUGCCCAAGCAAUAGCUAAAGAUACAUCCAACUGUAAUCCCCUGAUCAAAGCAUGUUGUUUCAAUGCACUAUGGUGAGAUAAACAUCCCAAAGCCACCCAGAACUCAUAGUUGUCACCCUCAAGUAGCAAAGCCCCCAAAGCCAUCUUCUCUGCUAGCUGCCUGAUAAAAAAAAAGGCAGUAAUUAAAAGAGCAAAUCCACAUUAAAAAAAAAAAAGAGCAGCAAAACAAGAGACCACAUGGAAUGGGAUCUUACCAAGAAUUUGGAUCAUUUUUACAGUUUUCAUCCAACACAGAGAUGAGAUCUGAAGUUAUUGCUAUAUCAGUAUAUAUAUUAGCUUGCCAAGGGGCCAAGUGCAAUGCUCGCUGAUAAGAUUUUCUAGCUGAGAUGGCAGCUGAAUAGCAGGUCCUCUUCCAGGUAAGAAUAGAGUUACUGAAAGUUUCUGCCUCAAGUUCUACACCCUGGCUCUUCUCCGUCCAUGGAAGACAUCUUGCAUACAUUAGCUAGACAGGAGAGAGAUAACUUCUAUUACUAAAUUAGUCAUGUGGCAAACAUCACAGCUCGCAAAACAAGUGCAAGGUUUUGGAUCUCUCUAAGUGGGUGGUGUGCUCCCUCCUAGGGGACUGGAUGUAAGCAUGUGUUUCAGCUCCCUCUUAAUGUGCAAGAGCAUUGAUAGGCACAUGGAACCAUGUGUACUGCACACCCAUUGGGGAUGAGCAUAUGUGUGUUUCGCUUCCUCUUAAUGUGUGCAUAUGUGUGCCUAGAGAGGAAGGUGGGACCAUUGAAGAUCAAGCAACACUUCAAAUUGCUCCUAUGAUCACGCCAUACUACAAUGCUCUUUUGAUCAAGAGCACAAUUUAGCUAAUGGUACCUGAAUAUCACCAUGCAAUUUCCAAAUACAAGAUAUAUUUCCAUCUAGAUCAGCACUCGUUCUUGCAACUGUACAUGCAUCCUGCAACCAUUCAAGAACUGAAAAUUAAAUCAUUCUUUUGGAUUCUAUAAAAAGAAGAUUGCUGGAGACUAUUUAAAAUUCAAAGAGAACUAACCUCUAAUAGUGAAGCGCCCCACCUAAAUGCACCCAAAUUAAUACACUCCUUUGACAAACCAAGCAGUCCAGAAGCAAGCCCAUAAUGUGCAGACACAUUCUGAGGUGUGAUCUUCACAGCUUGCUGAAAAAGUUCCAAUCCCUUGAUGCAUAAAACCAGAGAAACACUUACGAAUCACAUCUCCCGUAAUCAUGAACCUUACAGGACAUAUUUUCUUUUGAGAUAAAAGAGAAAAAAUAUAAUUAUGCACAAAAGUACCAAGGGGUUACCACCCGAAAGCACAAAAUUACAAGUCGAUCAGGUGGUCCAUGACAGACUCAAUAUAUUCUCAAUCUAAUAUGUCAUGACAUAACAAAAUAGGAACAAAAAUAUGAAACCAUUUAUCCCUAAUAUUUACAAUGUAUGUUUCAAUACCCUUUGAAAGCCCUAACAUUCUUCUCCCUCCAAACAACCCACAGAAUAAAAUCGAAAUAAGAAAUCAUUCUUUUUCCUUUUUACAUAAACCAAUCCACGCCCACAACUCCUCAUUAACACUGCUCGUCAUAACCCAAUUCAUCCUCAUAAUGCCAUACACAUACGCCCAAAUUUUGUACACCAUAAGACACUGAAGUAACAAGUGGUUGCAAGAUUCUUCAUCGGCCUUGCACAUGUAACACCUAUUAACUAUCAUAAUUCCUUUUCUUAUCAACAUAUCAAUGGUCAAUAUUUUUUCUUUAACAACUUCUCAAAUGAAAAAAGUCAUUCUAGAUUGAGCUUUUGACCUCCAGAUUUGCUUAAACAAUGCUGCCUUGACAUUAUCAUCACCAUUUUUGACAAUAUAAUUGUAGUAGGAUUUCACCGAAAAGCCACUUUUCUUGUCCAGUUUCCAAAUUCUUUUGUCCUUCAUAUUUCCCACCUUAAAAUCAGAAAGACAACGAAGCAGAUUACAGUAUUCAUCCUCUUCUUCAUGCUUCAAAUUUCUCCUAACCUAAAUACACCACCCACCCGAACCUUACAGGACAUUACAUGACAAAAAGAGUCAAUUUGGUACGUACAUCCUCUAAAUGCAAGCACAUUCAAUGGAGUUCCUGGAGAGUGUUAGCACUUGCAUUCCAAAUAUACAUAUAUUAAAAUGGAAGUGAAUUGCAUACUUUGAUAUAGCAUUAAUAAACUUCAUAUUAUAAGGUGACAAUAAGUAUUGCCGAAAUACGUAAUCGCAAUUUAAGAUAACCAAAAUGUUUGUAAGACAGCAGUUUGUUCAUUCUCUCAAAGCAAAAUUUUAAGGGAAAAGACCAGUCAAUUGACACUCAGUUUUCAAGAGCGUAGGAGAGGAGAAACAGUGUAAUGGAGCAGAAAGAACUAGAAGUAAUGAAACAUAAAUUAUGUUACUCUAUUUGGAAGAAAAACAUGUAAAUGAAAGUAAAAUAUUUUUUUCUUAUUUAGAUAACUGGGGAACAGAGGGAGAUUGAAAAGUUCUAUUUUACUUUUCAUUUUUACUUUUUUAAUAAUUUGGAAACUGCAAUUUAUUCAACCAUCUUUUCACUACUAAGCUCAGUGAAUAAAAAGUUUCAAAUGUCUAAAAGAUAUUAAUACCAUCUUUUCUUGUAAAAAGGAAGGGUCUAGCUUCUUAAAAAGUAUCAUAAGAAUAAACUUACCAUCAGUAGAUAUGUACAUAUAUACAUAUCCCAUUUGCUUCCCAUCUAUCUUUCCUUAAUUUAGGAGAAGAAUUUUGGAACCCCCUCAUUCUCCUUCUAUGCAAUUGUUAAUCUCAUUCUUAUUACUUCUUUCCAUUCUCCCCUCCUCCAACCAGAAAUUAAAAUAUUUCCAACAAAGCCAAAUUGAGCCUAUCAUCCUAUAACACCCCCACCAAGUGAAAUCAUUAUAAAAUGAAGACAUAAGAAUUUGAAAAUAAUAUAAGAACUUUACUAGUACAAAAAGAUAUGACAAACAUGAAAAGUAUUGAUUUGCAAAAGGAUGGAAUAAGAGAAAAAAGGAAACAUGGCACUGUAUAUAAUAUAUCAAUAAUGAAACAGGGCAAUCGAUAUAUCAACUAAAUUGAAGGGACUUAUCAUCAAAUCUUACUUUUCUAUAUGAACCAAGCAUCAAAAAUAUGUUUCCACUUUCGACAAGUGCAAAUAUUCUUGCAUCAUCCAAUUCGAUAGCUCGACCAUAGGCCUGUUUCAACAGUGUAACAAGUGGAUCAUGUAAAGAUGAGAUGCUGUGUUUCGAACACAAUUACUAGUAUUUCGAAAAAAAAAACAAAGAACCAAAAUGUACUAGUACUAAUUUAGUUAAUUGCUCAAACAAAAAAAGGCCAAGUAAUACCCUCACCCAUGUGCGGCCAAAGAAAAGUCAUCAUGUGCUUGGAGAUGACAUAGACACAAGCUAAAAAUUAGAAGAAAUGCAUGGAAAGUACUUGAAGUAGGCGAAUAAUCCUGAGGCUCACUAGAAAAAAUGCAUGGAAGAAGAACGUAAAAUAAGAGAGAACGCGGAAUCUAUUACCUUAAUAGCAGCAGUGAGCAUGCCAAGUCGCUGGUAUGCAAGACCAAGAGCCUAGAAUGAGGGCGGAAAGAAGACACUGUAAUUUUAGUGCUAACCCAUAGUAACAACUGGAAGAGAAGACGGAGCAGAGAAAACAUACUUCCCAUAAAUCAGCCGAGGUAGGGUAUCCUCGAAUGGCAUGUUGAAGGCUCUGCACGGCUUGAGACCAUUUCUUAUGAUGGAGCUAUGUAACGAACAGCGGAGCUAAGGUCAAAGUAAUGAAGAAAAUACAAUAAUAUGAGGGGGGGAAAAAACACGAGAAGGGUAAAAGAACCUGCAGGUAUCCCAAUCUGCGGAAAGCCCAGAAAGCCCUCGGUGACUUGUUAGAGGCAUCGCGGCACGCGGCCAACUCCAAGCUCUCCUUCCCCUCUCGGUCCAACAGGUCACAGAAUGCUUCCUGUGUAUCAUUUUCAAACAAAUAAGACCACUAAACAUAGAAGAACUAAGAAGAGAACUGAAAGAGGAAGAAGGCACACAGCAUACUCCAGAAUCAGAAUCAUCAGGAUUGAGAGUGAUGGCUCUCUGGUAGCACUUGAUAGCCCUCUGCGAAUCGUGGGAGAGACGGGAAUAGUAAUGUCCCAAAUACUUGAAGGCAGCUGCGUUCUGUGGGUUCAAUUUCGCCGAUAUUACCAAAUGCUCAGCAGCUUUCUCCUUUAUCUCCUUUGUCUCUCCACCUUUCUCCCACAGAUAUACCCCCUGCAUCACAUAAACAUCCGUUAUGCUCCAUCCUUGCUUUCGAGCAGAGAACUGGCAGGAACUUCAAAACGAUUCUUUCUUUCGUUCUUGAAUUGCAGACCAAAUAAGAAAAAAAGCCAGAUGCAUAAAAAGAACCAAAAGAAAAGAGUGAGCAUGUUAAUGAUAAUGAUCGCGGAGUAAUUACGAGAUCCAAGUGGAGCGACGGGUCAUCGGGAUUGGCAUCUACAGACUCCUCCAACAGUCUCAGACGAGACCCAUUUUCUUCAUCUUCAUCUUCCUGAAGAUGCAAGCACAUCAAUAGAUGAACAUUGCUUCGAUUAAAUACAUGAACUAAAAGCUAAAUUUCCUUUGUCAAGCAAAAUAAAUAUCGAACGAAGUAGAAUACAAACCCUUCUACUCAUUUCAGGCGAGUUUCAAAACCCUAAACCGCUUAAGUGAUUGAAGGACUGAACCUCUAUUUCUGGCUCCCGCACAAACAGUCAGUUCCUUCGCCACAAAAUCAAUGUCUAGAUUGUUAACGAACGGUUGUCUUGUAAUUUUCCAAGACAUAUUAAUUCAUUAAUUAAUAACAACUACCAAAAUGGAAAAUUCUUCUGGUAAAGGAAACUAGAAAAACUGCAUACAGUGAAUAUGAGCCAGUUGGAGUAUUUAAAUCUUUUUGAAUUUUCACAUGGAAAAGGGUUUGAAUAAAUUCAUUAAUUUUCUAGGAUUUAUUGAUAAAUUUAGAUUAAAUAAAUGAAAGUUAUAAUAAAAUAUUUUAAUUUUGUAUAAAAACAAUUUUUAUUGUUUUGUAUAAAAAUUAGAUUAUAAAUUUAUUUCAAAUAUAAUUCACAUAUUAUUGAACUAAAAUACACUUCUUUUUUUUCUAACUUCAAAUGUUGUCAAAUAGUAUGUUUUAUUUUAUUAAGUUCGGAAUAAAUAAAUUUUAAUAAAAUUAAUUUAUAAAUUUAUAUUUAACUUAAUUAAAAAAUAACAAAUACGAUUUUAAAAAUUAAUUAGAAUUGAUCCCAUAAUUGCAUUAUAAAUUAGAAUAUGCCAUGGUUAAAAUUUCUUGAAAUUUGAACAUAUUAUUUUGAUUCACAUAAACUUUUAUACAGAAAUUAAUUUUUUAUUAUUAUUUCAAUAGAAUUUAUAUCUAGUAUUUAUAAAUAACUCCGACAAUCUUUUUUUAAAAUAAAAAAAUUUAUUUAAAACAUAAUAUUAGUAAAUAAAUUUUAUUUUAUUUUACAAGAAAAAUAUGAAAAAUAAGAAACUUAAAACUCGUGAUAAUCAACUAAAAAAUUAAAGCAUUUUGUCCUCAGUAAAGUUUGUUUAAAUUAAAUAGAUAUUGAAUUUCAUCAAAUUUAACUUCUAACCUUCUUUAAGAAAAUCGAUUUUUUUUCAUAAAAUAUUUUUAUUUGUAGUCUAAAUAAUUUAUAAAAUAUGGUUUUUUUCAGUUUUAAAAUUUUUAAAAUAUAUAUAUAUAUAUGCAUAUAUAGGAAAAACAUACAAUUAAUCUAAAAUAUUAUUAAUUUAUUGAUUUCACAUGUUUAUAAUUGAGAGAGAAAAAAAAACGAUACAAACAGUAAAAAUAUUUAAUCAAAUACUCACAUUUCAUAAUCAAGAGAAAUUAAACAUAUUUAAAAAAAAAUGAGAAAAAAGAAAAAGAAAUGCAUUUAUUAAUCUCCAAAUUUGAUGUUUUACGAGUAUGACAAGCGUGGAUCCAGCAGAAUGUGAAGAAGCUAAUCCUUGCUUCGCCAAUGCACUCCUACUUGGUCGUCUGAGCAAUUAUGUUGCCUACUAAACUGGCCUGUUCUUUAGCAAUCUCCACCAGCGAAUCCUGCAUUUUCACCCCCACUGUGCUCAUUGGCAAAUUUAUUUGUCUCAAUAAAAUAAGUGGUUUGGUACUCUAUGACAAUGAAGUCUUCAAUGGAGAUCAUAAAUAUAAAUUAGGGUCUGUGUGUUCCAAUUUUACCUGUGCAUCUAUCAGCCGCAAAACUGUUUUCCUGCUUGAUUCCUGAAGUUCACCGGCUAGCAAAAGCUCAUCUAGCAAAUAAUAGGCCUGCACUCAAGUAAGAUUACGUGUUCAACAUUAAUCAUCUCGAUUACAAAAGUACAUCAAGUUAUACGUAAUGGUACCUUGGACUUUAACAUAUAAUUCUUCUGUUAAAAUGAUAGUUUCCCCAUAAAGCCAUCAUUUUGGCAAUACUUACCUGCCCAGAAAAGGACCAGAAGAAAAAGCUAGGAAAAAUGUGUACCUUAUGGAAAUUGAAGAUCAAGUCCAGCUCACAGACCUAAUAGUUAACAAUGAUGAGAAUGGGGUUAGUAGCUAAUUUCCUCACAACUCAAAUUUUUUGUUUUCUUUGCAAUAAUUCUUUAUGAAGGCGGUUAACAAAAAACAGAUAGAAACUCACGCUACCAAAAUAGCGAUCCAAAAUCUCAACAUAAUGAUGAAUUAUAUCAAGAACCUCCAGCUCGUUAUCGUCCAUGUCAACACACAUGCAAAAGUAGAGGCCAGCAUAUCUGGACAUGAAUGCAAGAUCUACUGCUCGUAAGUAAGAAAUUAAUCAUUUAUGUACACAAAUAGCUGACACUGUUACCUUCUCUAAUUAAGUUUCAUUAAAUGUGAAACAUGAAACGUGCCAUAGCUGAUAUUUUCAUAUGUCAUAUGUAUAUACCUUCUGUAGACAACCUUUAGUCCUCUCCAUUCCACAAAGUUACAAAGCUUGGGGCCGCGACUGAGUAUUAUGCCACUGAGCUCUCUGAUUACCUUGCCAGGCAGCCAUCCCACACCCGUUAAAGUAAAUUUCAAUUCACAAGUAGUUGAAAUGGGAAAAUAUGAAUAUAAUGAUCUGCUUAUACUUUUACAUGUUCAUUGUAUUACAGGACGACUCGAACAGUAUCACAUUAUAAAACUAUAUCCUUAACUGUCAUAUUUAUCACAAAAACAUCAUUGAAUUUGAAAGAAAGUCAUCAGAAGUCAAUUCAUUGUAAUAAAUUUGAAGCUGAAGAACCUUAGUUACAGGUAAUGGAAUAACCUCUUGGACAGAGGAAAAACGGCUUUUUGAGGUCUGAGUUAAGAGGUUCUGUAGAGAAUCAAGGAAAUUGCAAAAUUAGAUUAAUUUACCUUAGUUCUUUCCUUCUGAGAAUAAGGUGAAUACCAUUUUGUCAAUCUCAACUUGCCUUGCCGACUAACGAGAAUCACAAAGUGAAUCUGGAGCAGCAGCAUAACAGAGUUAAGCAUGGAUGAUUAACAUACCAGUUGCAGAAGCAAGAUGUAAAUGUCUUGUCUUCACCAGUUCACAAGUAUACAGGUUUAUCAUACAAAUUUUGAUACUUCAGUCUCUUUCCCUGUGCAUAAUUACAUUCUCUUUGGUCUCAUAGAUGAGCUAGCUUAUAACCCUGAAUACUGCAUGUCAACUUUUCGAUGGUGAACUUACAAAUUUUCAAAUUUCGUUAUGCUAGAUCUAGACUUGUUUGGGUGAAGCAAUUCAUGUGAAAAGUUUUAAUUCCUGGUACUUGUAACUAUAAUCAACAGUUCGGCAGGUAAGUAAUCAAACCAGCAUUUAUAUUUUAACAUCGUACUAAAUAGAAAAACCAAAAAAAAAAUCAGACCAACUAAUAAUCGGGUAAUCUACAAAAGCAACAGCUUUGCGUUCUCUCUAUAAUCACAAACUGUUCCAACAUCACAAACGAACGAAAGGCUACAAAUCAGUCUCUCUUUCAUCUACUGCCAAGAUAUUAUCACGCCAACAAUAUGACAGAGAAUUACUUAAACCACGAGAGAUGUGUAGUAGGAAAUGUCGUUUAAUCCCUCUCGUUGCAAGAAACAGUGAACUGAUUAUCCUAACUAGAAAUCCCACGGACCCACUUUGUCAAACACCUUGAGAGCAAAAGAUUAAAACAGAAAUUUUUCACAACACCCGGUGACCAAAUUAAAGGAUCAACAGAGAACUCAUUACAAAUCCAACAUUACCCAUGUAUGAAAUAAUUGAAGAGAGAAAUUUUAACCAGUCACGCCCUGGCAAUAGGAAGAAGGAUAUACACUGUUCGUGGUUUGGACUCAUCUUACAAAUCAGAAGCAAGGAACAAAAAUUAUGUUAUAGUUUAUACAUGAUAUUUGCGAGAGACUAUACUAAACUUUAAUACAUAUAUAUCACUACAUUCUAGAAAUGUAAAAAUCAUAGAAGAAAGCAACAAAAUAAAGAACGAAAGUUGUGAGGUAAACAUACCAUUUGUUGAAUGUCAACUGUUAACGUAGCAGCUGGGCGUUAAAAAUUCGCGAUGAAGGAGUUCUUGUGCUGGUUUGCACGGGUAGAAAUGGAAGCAUCAUUACUAGAAAGAUGGUUGGCAUUUCCAUUACUUAUUGAUUAGUCAACAAACCUUCAUCGAUUUCGCAGAACAGAGCGGUACCUUGAGAAAUAGCUGUUUUGAAUCUUUCACCUCUAAAAAUAAGAAAAUCUAAAAACUUGCAUCAUCGUGAAAUUUCGGGUGCAGCAGAAGUAAUGGAAUAUGCUUUUGUUCAGAACGAGUUAAUUAUUUUUAUAUAAAAAUUAAUCUAUUUAUAUACUAUGGUUUUUUUGUUUUCUCUUUGUUGGUUUUUUUUUUUUUUUUGGGCGAUGAGAAUAAAUCCUCUUAUAUUUUUGCAUAAUACUUUGAUGGUAAUCAACUGGUAAAGCAUUAUUUUGAGGUUUCCUUGUUUAUAUUAAUUAAACUACAAAUAACAUUUUCAAAUGUAGUAAGAAAACCUCAAUUAUAUGGUUAUGUAAAUGUAGCAAAGAGAAUUUGUUUUGAAGAAAAUAAAUGGGUAAUUUAAUUUUAAGGAACUGUAUAUUAAAAGGAAACCAAUUUAAUCCAUUGAAGCUUAUAAAAUAUUUACAUGAAUGAAAAUAGAACUUCCCAAAUUAAUUUAAAAUUCUUGACAGCAAUUAAACUAAAUAUAUUACAUUUUGAAACUUUUAUUCCUCGUUCAAAACCAAUUUCUAUAAAAAUUUCUCAAACAAAGCACAAGAGCAAACAUUAUGGAGGAGAAUUCCUAGCUCAUCCUGCUGGAUAAAAACAUGUUUACAUUCUUCUUGCUAAUAUUUCUGUACUCCUUAUCAUACAAUUAAUUCUUCUUCACCCAAGUGAAUCCACCAUCUAUCCUCUACUGAAGUUGAUCAAAAGUUGAUUCGCUGACUUGCCAAGUUUUCAUGGAUGACGUACCGGAAAUUUGAAUUCUGUUGCAACCAGUGAAUGCACUUGUCAUGCCUACCCUUUAUGCAUUUUCUGAAAGCUUUCUUCUGUGCGUCUGGCAGGCACUCCGAUAUCAUCUCCAAGACUCCAGCCAUGUCGAGUGACAUUUCCUUUGAAAAGUAGUAAAUAAUCUUAGGUAAAAACACCUUUGUCCCACUGUGGAUGUACAUAUUAGCUUGAAUAAACUCCUCUUUGGCACGUCUGAGAUCCUGAAAGAUGGUCUUUGCUGUGUAAACUCGAACCUAAUACGUGCAGAAUAUGCAAUUUCAGUUCAGAAAAUGGCAAACCAAAUGGAAGACAGAAUCUAUAAUAACGAAAAUUAUAUGCAAAUGCCAAUGGAAUAUAUAUAUAAUUAAAAGAAGCUUUUAUACCGCUGGAUCAAAGUAGGCACCAGAACAGAGGGCAAAAUGAACAAGUGGUUCCGGGUAUUCUAAGGCAAAUGCGUGUCUGGUGCUCCCUAUCUUAAAUUUUCUCCCCGGGUUAAAUAGCGAUUGUACCCACUGCAAUGCAUUUGUUAUUAACAAGGCAUUAGAUCACUUUAAUCAUGGUUACCUCCCUCUUAUUUUCAACAAAAAUAAUAAUUAUAAGCUUUAAUCAUAGUCUACUCAUCGAAUAUCUGGCUAUCAAUCUUGUCAAUGGACAGAGAAGAUAACAGGGAUUAGCAAGGUCAGAAUAUCAAUAAAUAUUUUGGAAGUAUGAGGCAUACCGGUGCUGGGUUAUUUGGUCUAAUGCCUAAAAUGGAGCACCGGAUGACAUAGGCAUUAACAGAAUGUCCACCAACAUGGUAUGCUGCCUGAAAGUUUGAGAUUUGAAAUGAGUUACUCACUAUGCAAAACAUGGUAAUAAGCAAAUCAAAAUGAGAAAUAAUGAUGCACGUCUAACCUUCAAAAUUGAGUUACUUUUUGAUCGAUUACGAGUUCCAUAUGCUAAAUGUGCCUGCUCAGUUUAACCCAUCAAGUAAACCAUAUUAGACAUAAGCUAACAGAUAUAGCUAAUAAUGCAUGAUUAUGCAAGAGAACAGAAAAAAUGUUUUCGAAGACAAAAUGAACUCCAUACAUGCAUCACCAGGGCAUUGUGAAUGUUGAUCCAGAAUGCAAGCUUCUCUUCACGCUUCAUCUUCCUUGGGUCAACCAGCUCAAGAUUCCUAAUCAAAGACCUGCAUGAAAUUCAAACUUCUUGAGUUCUUGAAAUAAAUAAUAAUCCACUUACAACCAGAUGCUCAGUAGCAUAUGUCUGGAUCUUCACAGAAUGAGAUUAAGAUAGUAGAACAUGGCUGAAUAAUGUAGGAGUCAAUAGAAUAUUGAGCACCUGAAAUUUUGUAGCAUAGUAGCAGCAUAAUUGAAAUUAUCAUUGUCUAUGCAUAUCUUUAGAACUUCUAUGUUUGCAGCAGGGGGUCUAUUCACUUCUUUCAACUCUUUAAACCGUAGAUUCAUGGUAGCAUCCUCACUGCAAAGCGGGCUCCAACUAUCACAGGGAUUAUUAGAAGAAAAUAUGCUCGAGGAAGAAAAUGACGAGAUGGGAGAAGUUGGUAUGCCCGCAUUGCUUUGUGAGGUGUUAGAGAGCUUGCAGUAUAUAGACGAUAUGCAUCUCACAAUUUCUUCUGAGAUUCUAUCUGGAGUACUAAGGUCGCUAAGCAUGUGAGAAGCACCAAGGUAAUCAGCAAGGAUGCGAUGACCAGAAUCAGUUCUCUCCCGACCCUGUAAAUGCUGCGUGGCAAAAUGAUUAUUCAGAUUUGCAUUACCAACCACAAUUUUUGCAGACAACAUAAUAAUUACAUAGAAAUUUCAAUUUAAGCCACCAAGAAAUUUAAGGUAAGGGUGGUAUUAACUCAAAAACUAGAAAUUAUGUUCUAGUUAUACACACUAACACUAAUGUAAAAAUUAGAACUAAAAACUGAAUAGGAACUGCAUGGUAAAUGAAUGAAGGCAGCAUUAUAGUUUGAAAAAGGAAUAUUGCUAUAAUAUAUAAGCAAUAGAUGAAUCAAUGCAAAGUCAGGUUCUACAGUGCAUUAGGUCCAAAUUUUUUCUAUUCCUUUUCAAUUUCUAAAUUUUAAUUAUUUAAAAUGCAGGAUUUAGUCACAAUUUAUAUAUUUGUUACAUUAUUGAACCACCUAAAUUCAUAUCUUCAUUUGUACAAUAAUUGACUCAUAUUUCCACUUAUUAACAGAAGAAUUAAAAAAGUAACUAAAUUGAAUUCGACAUGAAAAUCAAUUGGAAUUAGAAUGCUAUUUUCAUCAAAACUUUAUCCCAUUUAUAUUACAUUUUACAUUCUUAUUCCAUAAAAUUGAAACUUAAAUCAAACUUAAAUCAAACUCAAAGUAAGAUAUAUUACCCCCGAAGAAGUUUUCUUUAAACCAGCACAGAAACUCUGACCAUCUAAAAGGACUGUAUCAUAAGCCGGGGAUGACUGAACAUGACAAUCAAAGCCACCUUUCUUCCGACAUGGCUCCAGAUCACAGCAUACUUGAUUAGCCAUGACAGAUGCCGGUGAUGAUGUCUCAAAUGAUAACUGUGAUCCAGUAACAUUUGAAAAUGAGGGCAUGCGUUCCUGAAAGGCAGACCGAUAGAGUGAGAGAAGAUAGUGCUCCAAACGCACAAUUUCAUCCUCGAGCAUAGCUAUCUCUUGCCUCAGGUCUGCAGAAGACUGCAUUUCAGGGCCCAAAUGUCAAAUCAGUAAAUCCAAUCCUAGAUGUUUGAAACAUAAUGUUUGCCUAGUGUGCAUACUUAAUUAUACAGAAGCCAAAUGCAAGACUCCUUGAGGUACCAGAUAAAAAGAAACAUGGUCAUUUAUGUUCUUUAGUCUCUUACAAUUAAGUGUUAAGGCCAAAACAAAAUUUAGAAAAAAAAAAGAAAAAAAAAACCUUUUGUCUUUGGGGAGCAUUGGAAGGAGUAGAUUUCGCGGAACUGCAACCCACUGCGUUCUUAGAAUCCCAGUACAGGGAAUCUUGGUCCUGCAAUCUCCUCUCCAAUUGCACGAUCUGUAGUCAGACAAUAGAAUGUGGCAUGUCAAAUCCCUUUUCUGUGUAAAUGCUAAAUCCUGAUUUAUUUUUCAAAAGAAAAUUAUGGUUUAGUAUUCACUAACCAGAUCAAGAGUAGAUGAACAAAUAAUGGGUGUGCAGUUUAUCUGAAAAUUUUAGGCAUAGAAAGCAAAAUGAAAUUCCAUUAGAGUAGUCUUAGGGUAUUUUAAUGAUCUAAAACUUGAAGAUUAACAGACUCAGAUUUGCCAAAAAUAGCUUUCUGCUACAGGGAUAAAGAGGAUCGCACCAAGUAGUAGUCCAAAUUCUACUUCAUUCCACAUCUAUCCAUCUUUGACUGACUUCAUGCUAUUUGUAAAGAUUUGUUGUCAACAGAUGUUCUUGUUGUAUUUCAAGUGUGAGAGAUCAUGAGAGAGUUGGACAAAAGACCCUACAGCUAAUUCUUGAAGGCCAUAAUUUAUGAGGAUUUAAGCAUCUAAGAAGUUCUGGAUUGUCUCAAAGAAUAACUCACAAUCUAUCUCUUUAAUUGAUCUUUCUUGUGCUUAUUAUAUCUCCAUUGACUGUUUCAUAUAGUAUCAUAAUCAAAGGCGUAACGCUCAAUCUGCGUUUUCAUCCUAGUGUUAAGGAGCGUGUUUAGAAUGACUACCGGUGUAAUAUGAAAUGAGAUUUUCAUACACUUAUCAAUUAACAGGACCAGAGAAGUAGUUGGUUCUCAUUAAUUUAUAAGAACUUACAUAUUCAAAUAAAUUUUGUGUAAUGAUGGGUUCUUAAAAUCCUUAAACUAGUGGCUGAACCUAGAUUCUCCUAGAGACCAAGCUGCGAGGAAGGCAAAAUGCCAACAGACAUGACAAGUGGUAAACAGUAAACUUGAUCCAGUUCAUGGUCUUUUUUGGAAUAAAUUACAUUUAUGCUUACUAAUCUGAACUUCAAUUAGGAAUCAGGAUUUACAAAAAAAUACCCACAUCACAUCCUGAAACAAGCUUAAGAAACAAAAACAAAUAAAGAGACAGCAAAGAACAAUAAUUGACUCUAUAGAUGCAAACAUAAACUUAGCAAGUACUUACAGGAUUCGCGCGGGAGGAGGAGAGUCUGGGUGAUGAGCUGAAUAUAUUUUGAAGAAGCCCAGUAUCAAGGACUCUGAAAUAAACCAAAAAUAGCAGCAGUGAAUUAAUGAACAGUCAGUCAAUUGCUUAACUGCAAAGCAACCAAGGACCAAAUACAGUGGGAAAGCUUGUAUUCUGGUAAAGCUUUACCUAGGAGAAUUAUGCUGUGAAGGAGAAGCGUAAGAGGAAGAAGAAGAGCGGCCAUUGACACCUGACAUUGUGGCUUUUCUGCUAGCUUACAAAUAACCUAGAGCUGUCCAUCAUCAAUUGCUUUUUCUUAGCAUAGGAAAGGCAACAAACCAUGCAAGAGAAAACAGAGGAAAUUGCGGCAUAUGAGGCCACUUCUUCGAAAAAAAGUAGAGUAGAAGCAUUAAAAAGUGUGAACUCUAAUCUAAGCUGAUCAAAAGUCAAAUGAAAAUAUAUUUCAGUUCAGACCUCCAAAAUUUCCGAUAUCCUGAAACAAAAGAAACUCCAUUUCUGGACCCCCAAGCUUCAAUUUUUUAUAGGAGAAAGGAGAAAGGAGAAAGAAACUGACUACACCAAAAAAAAUUACCCAGAAAAUUACAAUCAAGAACGAACCAACCCAUUACCAAAUCAACAUUGUUCACCAAACGAAAUCACAACUAAACCGCUAAUGUCUUUUUUACCCAAAAACAAAUAAAUAGAAAAAAAGAACCCAUCCCUAAAACAAUCAGAGAUAGUAAAUUGAGGAAAAAAGCAGAUGACCCACCAUCAGACAAUAGCGAAAGAGCAAUGAAGACGCCCAAACAAACAACAUCUAUUGUGUGUGGGGACGUCCCACCAAGAACAGAUUGAAUGUGGCAUUAAACACACCAUUCGUGAGUCAUAUGAGCAGAAGAGAGAGAGAAUUAAAAAGCCGGUGCUGUCUCUGUGCUAAUCACCAUCACAAUAAUCAAUAAUCAAACCAAUAAAAAAACAGAGAAUCUUCAUUAGCUUUUGGUUUGGAACGGGGAAAAUGGGAAAGUUAAACGAUCAUGAUUACGUCUUCUUCAAAGGUGAAGCAAGUAUGGGUUUCUUUUUGCUAUUCCCAAUCCACUCCACCACACAAACAACUGGAGCAAAACCCGUUAAUUAUUAAUAAUUAAUAAUUAAUCUCUCUCGCAUGCAAAUCACUGUAUGCAUUACAUCACACCAAUCCCAUCAACGAAAGAAGCAGAGGAAGUGAGAGUCAAAUGAUUAUUUUUUCUUGAUUCGCUUCACAGUAAUUAAGUAUUUGGUUCGUCUGCAUCGAUGCGUGUAUAUUAUUUUUCACACUAAGUUUGCCAGAAGAGUGACGCAGUGCUGUCAUUGAUUGCUGAAUCCAAUAAAUAUUUCUUUUUUACUGGGUAUUGCUGUAUUUAUGUAUAAAAUAUAUGUACUCCAGAGAUUUACGUGAUGUGCAGUGUAAGUUUACUAUAUAUUCUGUACUAAUUAAAAUCUUUUUAAUAAAGAUUAACGGUAUUGAUUUUUUCUAAUUAUUAUUUUAAUACAUUAUAUAGUCUAUAUCUCACCUGUAAAAUAGCAUUCUUAACAAUAAAUGGUAAAUUAAUAUUCACUUCAAUAAUUCGCUAAACCUGCGAAAUUUAAGCAAUUUGCUUGUGGAUAUAUACAAAAUGAAAAGAUGAACUUUAAUUAUAGUAUUUAAAAUAAUUACAAGUAACUUGUACAAUAAUCCAUAGAGCAUUUACCAUUAUCAAUCAUUACAAACAAUGCCAACGAAUAAACAGAAGAAAAAAAAUUAUUUGCCAAGACAAAAUAUAUACGUACUUAAUAUUUUUAGAGUGAACAUAAUCUUCCUAAAAAAUAAAUAGAAUGCAAGUAAUAAUCAUGUUUGGAAUAGUAAUUUACGUGUAUUUUUUUUUUAUCAAAUAUAAAUAUUUGUAAAAUAUUUCAAUCCCCUCAUAUCACAUCAUACGACAAAUAAAAAAAUAUAAUAUGAUGGGUCUCUUUUUCUUAAAAUUCUUAUUAUAUAUUACUAAAUUGUUCCAAUCACAAAAGGGGUUUAUAUAUAUAUAUUUUAUCUAAUAAUAAAUAUUUGGCAAUUUAUUAAGUCCCACAAAAUUUUGAUUGGUUGAAUCCCAACUCAAUUUCAGAUAGGAUUAUAUUUGGUGAAAAUCCUCACCCCAAAUAAAUUAUUAAAUAAAUUAUUAAUCAAUUUAAUAAAUUGCUUCCCCUACAAUUUGGGUGUUGGGUGUAAGACUGCAUGCUCAAUAAAUUUCUUGAGUUAAAUUUUCAUUAUUGUGCCAAAUUAUUUUAAUAGUAAAGAUUAAUGCAUUAAUUGUUAUUUAAAAUUUUAGAUUAUAUUUAUGAUAGUUUUUUUAUUAGGAGAAUAAGGGGGGAAAUUAAAAAUCACUAAUCAUAAUUCGAACAUUGUUUACUCCUUAAUUAUUCUUUAUUGUUGUAGAAUUUAUAUAUUUGGUUAACCAAAUCAUGUCGUUUCCUUAUAGACAAUGUUAAAAUUAACCGGCUCACACCCAUUGCGGAAAAUUCCCCACUGCUGUCUCCCGUAGGAGUCUGGGUCGUAUCUCAGUCUCAGUGUGGCUGAUCAUACUCUCGAACCAGCUACUGAUCAUUGCCAUGGUAAGCUAUUGCCUCACCAACUAGCUAAUCAGACGCGAGCCCCUCCUCGAGUUGAUUCCUCCUUUUACUUCUCAGCUUACGGGGUAUUAGCAGCCAUUUCCAGCUGUUGUUCCCCUCCUAAGGGCAUAUUAUUUGAUUUUUUUUUUUUUUGGGUAAGAAAAUAAUUUCUUUAAUAUUAUUAUUAUUUUUUGUUUUUACUUUUUCUAUCAGUAAUAGUUAAUAAUUAUCGAUACUUAAAAUAUUCACUCAAAAUUAUAUUCGUUAUAAAUAAAAUUGAACAUCUUUAAUUAAAAGUUGUAUGUAGUAGUUGCCGCAUUAAAAUCUAUAUAAACAUACACAUGUACGUAAUAUUAUUAUUGGUAAAAUAAUUAAUUUAAGUGUCUUUUUCCGUAUAAUUUAACUUUUCAUCAAUAUAGAAUAUGUAUAGGUAGAUGGUGCAAUUUAAUGUCUCUGUAAAUACGUAUAAGUUGUUAUCAGAAGUAAAUAUCAUUUUCUCUUGCAAUUUUAUCAAAAAAUUUUAUUAGUGAUGUGGAUUUGGUUUAAGUUUUAAAGAUAUCGUAUAUUUGAAGUCUAACUCAAUUAGAGUAAAAAUAAUAUUAUUAAUUAUAUGUUAAUUAACUAUAUAUGUAUGUUAACAAAAUUAAAUUGAUUAUAUAAAAAUAAUGUAUAUUAACUGAAUCAUAUUAAUUAAAUAGGUAAUUUAAAGUAACAAAUUUUUUUUUUUUAAAUGAUACACAGUGUUUAUUAAUUAAAUUAAUUAACAUGGAUCAAAUAACAGCUGUUACCAUCUACCUACAUAUAUAUGUAUAUGUAUAUGUACAUGUAUAUGCGUGUGUGAUAUAUAAUCAAUAAUAAGAAUGCAUAAUAAAAGCAAAAGAAUGACAGGAUUCCAGCUUCUUAUUUCUCUCACUUUUGUUAAUAAAUAAAAAAAGCGAUUGUCUUUUAUGAAAUUAUUAUGUAGACUUGUGACUUUCACUUAACUUUUUUCAUCAUCACAUCAACAAUAUCUUCAUAAUUAAACCACAGCUUUUAUUGAAAAAGAAAACAAGAAUAGCUCUUUCCCAUGUUGUUCUUUUCUUUUUCAGUUCUUUGUCCUAUACAUAUAUAUAUAUAUAUGCGUCAUUCCAAUAUAUAUAUAUAUAUACGCACUCAUCUUUUGGCAAACAAAUAAGCAAAUGGGAAACAUCCGGAAAAGAAAAUUAUAAUCUAUAGACUACCCUUUAUAUUGCUAACCCGUACAUGCAUUAUUGCUUGUUAAUAUAUAGUUUAGAUUUUAAUAUUUGCUUAAAUUAAUUAUUCAAAUGGGUUCGUCUUAAUUUUGAUGAUGAUGUUGUAUUUUUUUUUUUUUUUUUCCAAAACUAAAGUUAAGAAUUAAAGGAGUUAUUAACCAAAUCUUUUACUUGAGAUUCAUACCAAAAUUUUACUUUAAAAUUGAUUGAAAUUAUUAAAAUAAACAUGUACUAAAUAUGAAAUAUACGAAACACGGGCCAUCAAAUUAUAUUUUGCCACGAACUCUAAUAUUUAAAGAGUGGGUUGACUUGAUUUAGUUUUGACUAGGCAGACUGUUUGGUCUUGUCGGCCUGACCCACCCCCAAGAAAUAAUUUAAAAGUCUAAACUGAAAUCGGGCUUGGAUCGGCCCAUCAGCCUAAUUGUUUCAAGUAUUAUAAUUUUUUAUUUUUAUUUGGAAUAAUUUGUUCUUUCAAUUAUUUAUUUGGUUAAUAAAAAAUUAAUUUUAAUUGACCUGACUAUCAAAUCAGCCUAGUUAUCAAAACAAAAACAAUUAUUUAAAACAAAACUCUAUUAUUUGUCUUCAAAAAUAAAGAAAAAAUUUAUUGGUAUUUUAAUAUUUUGUCGGUAAUACACAAAGACUUAGUACAAAUAUUGGGCGAUUUAUCAUAUAAUUUAUUUAUUAAUUUUAGUUAGAUACUUUUUUGAAUUAAAUGAUAAUUAAUAUAAACUGUUAAAACGUCCCUGCGCUGAAUCUAACGUUAAAAAAAAUGGAGUUAUAAAAUUAUUAUAAUAUGAAAGAGGAGGGCCCACCAGGGAUAAAUGACGAUGAGGAUUGAAAUGCCCUUUUGGAGGAAAUAAAGUAGGUCUGUAUUUCCCUUAUUGGGCUUCAAACACUAUUUAUUGAUCGGACCCAAGCUACUGAAAGCAGGCCCAUCGAGUUCGAAUUCUGAAGCGUGCUCCCAAUUUUUCUUCGAGUUUAGGUAUGUAUAUAUAUUCUGGUAUUCUGGGUAGGGUUGAGAUGAGAGAGGGUGUGUUUACAAGCUCAUCGUGGUGCCGGAAUGCUUAAUGUAUAGGCGUGUAUAUAUAUAUAUAUAUAUGUACAUGUGUACAUAUAUGGAUGAGGAAGAAAGGCAUGGAUGGGGGAGUGGGGUAAGUAGCCCACUCGUGUGCAUGUCCGAAUCUGUCAAUCCAAUCUACUUACCUUUUUUAUUUCUUUCUUUCCCAUCCCUUGAUUUCUGCGGGAGACACAAAACAUCAAUCACACCCUGCUGGAACUCACCCAGUAUGCAUGCAUGUGUACACAUAUAUACCUUCUCAUUCAUUUAUAUAUCCCAAUUAUUAAACCCCCCCACACAGUCUUCUAUGCACACACACACACAUAUAUAUGGAGAGAGAGAGAGAGGGAGAGGGAGAGGGAGAGAGAUGGAAGGGAAGGCUGAGAUUGAGGUUGAGGACAGGCCAUGUUUGGUGGGUGUAGGGGGUCAAUAUAAACAGGGUCCUGGUGUGGUGCCAAAUAGUUAUGGGCUAGGUCGAUACGUGCGGGUGGUCGGGUGUGGGGUUGGCUCUUCAUGCGCGCCAACAAAUAUCAGAUUCCUCAUUUCAUAUAACGGCAAAACAACGGUCAAUCAGUUACUAUCCAUGUCCCUUCCCCCAUCCUAUUCUAUAUCUCACCUCUCCUUUUCACUACACCUAAUAAUAUAAUACUCUUUUUUAAAUAAUGAUAAUAAUAAUGAUAGAUACAAAAUUCCCGUCAAAGCUUAUUUAUAGGCUUUAUUGCCAACCCGAUUUUUUAAAAAAUUUAUAAAUAGAUUUAAUAGAUACAAGCAAAAGCUUCAAUAAAUUAAUUGGAUAUACCAUUGAAUUGGUUCACAAAUACAUCCCAAAUAAAAAAAAAUUGACCAUAAUGAUCUUAAAAUGGGUCUGCGUAAGGAAUCUGGCCAACUUAUAUAUCGUUGGACUAGAAUUAACUAGAAAACAUAUAUUCCAUCUUAAUUACUUCAAUUUAUUUGCUGCUGAUAAUAUUUUUUUUGAGUAAAAAUUAUAAAAAAAGUGUUACUUAAGACGCAUGAUUAAAUGGGCUGCUGUGCAUUAUAUUCCUUUCAACACCGAAGUACCAACAACCGCUACUCUCCCCCCAUGUCAGCUUAGCACAAAAAGAAGCUCCAAAUUGUUUUAUUUUGUCUUCAUAGGUUUUUUUUUGUGAAAUAAAAAAAGAUUAUAAGGUGGGUAUUUAAUUAUUAAAUUUCAUUCGUGCACACCAAAUUGUUCUAUUUACUGAUAUUUGUAAAAAUUUAAAUCCAGGAAAAGGGAAAAUUGCUUGCGUUUACAUGGAUAUUAAUCAGAGAGAGGAGAAGAAGCCUCUUUUUUUUCUUUUUUUUUUUUUUGGGAAAAAGAGAAAGCUUUGACAAAAUGGCAAAAUUAUAUAUAAAUAGUUUUAUAUAUACGAAGUGGUUUACAGAUGAUAUAGAGAAAUAUGGUACAUAAAGAGGGGGUGAGAAUAACAAUGAAAAUAAACCUAGGAUAGAUUGACAAAUGACAAACAGAGACCGGAGCAUUAAGUGGCCAUAUAAGUGUAUAUAUAUCUACGUUGAACUCAGCUAAUAAGUCAUGAUCUCAGCAGGAAAAUACUGAGUUCCUGGCCAGAGCUACCAACAGGGUUAAGCAUGUGAAAAGACUCUGAGUCAGCUGACCCAAUGACUCGCUCGAAACUGGCUCUCAGGUACAUAAGAUCUCCAUCUUCCUCGGAGUUAGUAGCAGGGGAAGGCAGCACACCAGCGCCAACAGAGACAGACUGCAUCAUCUUCAGCACCGCCGUGUCGUUUCCCGUAGUCUGCCUUCUCAUGGCGAAACCCACUUUCCUGCCGUUGCAGUACAUGGACCAUACAGGAACGUUGAAGAGGGAGCAGGAGCUGGAACGCUCCUUCUGGCGGUCGCAUUCAAGAGCGAUCCUCAGCAAACCGUACUGCAUCUCUCUGGCCAAGUAGGCUGUUGGGACGGCGAAUUCGAGAAGAAGGAGAGGAGAGCUUCGUGGAUCGUCUUGGAGACAGAAGCUUACCCGUCCCUUUCGGUAGCCGAAGAAAGUUCCGGUUACAAAGGCGGAUGAUGAUGAGGAGGAGGAGGAGGAGGAGGAAGAGGAAGAAGAAGAAGAAGAAGAAGAAGAAGAGCCGCGAGUAGUCCAAGAGGGGGAUUCAGUGGCGGUGGAGAGUGAGUCGUCGGAAGUAGGGUUAAAGCCACAACAUGGGACCAUGCACUCAACCAAAGAACGGAAGGAGCGACGGAACCUCACUUCUCUGCCGCACUCAACAGAGGUGGCAGUGUCUAUUAUGUGGAGAGGACCUCUCUGGUUUCCGAGGUCUAUCAUCAUCCUCAUUCUUAAGUUUAUUUCUUUUCUGGAUUAUGUUUGGAGAAAAGAAUCUAAAUCUGCUGAAGUUGCAGAAGAAAUUGAAGAAGAAGAAGAAGAAGAAGGUGGUGUGGGUGGGAGGGAGGGAGGGGAAGAGGGCAAAUAAAUAAGGAAAAGUUAUGGUGGGGCGAGAAAUCGUGGGUAAUAAUUCUGCCCACGAGGGAGUGUGGGCCCCACCUCCUUUGGAAGAACUUGCGGUGCGCGUGAUUGCCAAAGUCGUAACCUUCGCCACUUUACUAAUUACAAUUCAAGCACUGUUGGAUUGCGAUAUUGUACCCAAAUAUAUAUUUUCAUGCACCUUUUCUUUUUAAAUAUUUUUAAAAAAAAUGUAUUUAUAUAAAAAUAAAUAUUUAAUUAGACUACACAAAUUUUGGUCACUAAUUAUACUACUCACAUAAAUUAUUAUUCUAGUUAUGCAAACACAAAAUUUUCUACACCGCGUAAUUUUCUUAUAGAGUUUAAUUCUAAAAAUGAUUUUAAAAAGUAUUUUAAAUUAAAAAUUUAAUGGACAAUCAUUGCGUAUGAUUACUUAAAUUAAUAAACUUAAAGUAAAAAAUCAAAUCAGAUUUAUUUAAUUAAAAAGCUGGUUUGAAAUUAAGGUAGUAAUGUAUUUUUCUCCAAAAAAGAAAAAGUUAAACAUAAAGUAAUAAUUACAAAAAUUAUAAUAAAUAUAUAUAUAUAUAUAUAAAUAUAAGCAAUUUAGUUUAAUGUUAAUUUGUGGAAAAGGCUUAAUCUAAUUGAAUCAUAAUUAAAGAUAAGAGAAACGGAAUGCAUGAGAAUUCAGCAUGCACGAGGCAAUGAUUAGACCCAAUCAGUCUUGCCUGUCCAACACUCUUAUGUCAUUUUAAUCAAAAGUUAAUUAAUCCUAGGAUUUAAUCACAUUAUCGAGAAAAACCCUCUUAAUUACUUUUCGAUUUAACUCCUUUUUUUUUUUUUUUUUUUUUUUUUAAUAAUAAUAAUAAGAAUGAGAGAUAGGGGCAAUGAGUAUGUAGUGAAGAACAAUACCAUAACUUUCUUAUGAUUAGAUUUGACGACCCCAAAUUUAUGCUGGUCGUGGUGAUGGUGACUAUCAAUCGCCAGUCUGUCCAGCUCGGGGAAAUACAGGAACCCUUGAAAGAAAACCUGGAAAACAGAGCAAAACAGAGGCCGCGAUGAACAGGGUCGUUCAAUCGAAUCGAAGAUCAGAGAAGGGUACGGCGGAAACACAAACCUUUUUAAGGAUUAUGAAGCAGAGGAAGUGAGAAGAAGGAAGGCGCCGCCUUCUAGAGAGAAGUCAUAACAAGGGAAACGAGGAGAGCUUUGUGACGCCACAGAGCUAAAUAUGGAAUAGUUAUGAGAUGGUGAGAGGGAAAAUAAGAGCGGAAGAAGAAACCCCAAUAAAUCAGAAGGCGGUCACGGUAAUAUUAAAAUAAUUAAAAAAUGAAUGGAAGUAAUAAAAUGGUGGGUUUGUAAGAAAAUAAAUAAAAAAUAGUACGAGGGCUAAAAAGGAAAAUAAAAGAGCGUGCAGAAUAUAAUAGAACCCCAUGAAAGUUGAAUACGAUUUGGAUGGCGAUUUCUUUGUUUCUAAGACAUCUGGGUACGGUCGAUAAGUUUAAGUCUCAGCUUUUCUAGACCGUCGGAUUGGGAAGUGGCCCAUCUACGUGAAUCAUUCACGGAAGCCAGCGCCUUCACGUGUGUGCCUACGGAAUAAUCAAUUUAUUUUUUAUAGUCAAACUUGUGGGAUAUUUAACGCUGCAUUAUUAGAUCAUGUGGCUGCUUUAUAUUCUUAAAAUUAUUUUAUUCUUUUUAUUUUUUAAAAAAUAUAUCAUUAUGCUUACGGAUUGUCACGAAAUUCUUUAUUACAAAUUAUCCGAUCUUUAUUGGGGUUUUUUUUUUUUUUUUUCCAUACCACUAUACUUAUGUGAAGCACUAAAUACAUGAAAUUAUUGAAGCUUAUGUUUUAUUAAAAAAUAUUAAUUUAGUUAAAUGGAUAUAAAUAAAUAAUAAAUAUUAUAUUGCUUGAAUUAAAAUAUUAUCUUAAUUCUGGUUAUUAAACGAGUUUUUUUUUUUUACUUAGUUAAAUAGGUAUUUUGCAAGAAAAAUGUGAAGGAUUAUAUUAAAUAAAUAAAUAUUUUUUCUUAUUUUUUUAGCACAACAUGAACGCUGAUAUUUAAUAAAUUAUAUUUAAAUAAUAUUAUAAUAAUCUAAAUAUAAACGGAUGUGAUGAUCUUUAAUAAGAAUGUGACGUGCUUGAUGUGUCAAUUAAUCAACGUAUUAAUUAUUUCGAUGAAAAAGAGAUAUCUAAAUAUUUUAAUUAUGAUUGAACAAAUAGUUAAUAUAUUUCACUAUAUUAAAAUAUUCAAAGUUAAAUUUUACAAAAUUAAGUAAAUAGAUGUUUUUAUGUUUAAAAAUAUAUAAUCUAUAACAUAUUUAUACAAUUAUUGAAUUCAUAUUAUGAAUAGGAUCGUAAUAGAAAUUCGUAUAAAAUAAUUUUUUUUUUAAAAAAAGACAUGCUAAAUUUUAAUUAUUUAUUUUUAACAUUACAUUAAUAUAGUUUGCUUCUAUUAUUACUUUAAAAUUUGUAUAUUUAAUUUAGUUAAUCUUAAUUAUGUAUAAGUUAUUUAUAGAUUUAUAAUGUCGUAUAUGUAGACUUAUUAUUAAUACCAAUUUACAAUAUUAAUUAUACGUGGAAUAUGUUUUGUGUUUUAAGAUUAAUUCGGAUAUUACGUAGUUUAUUAAUUUUUUAAAAAAAAAGACUUAGACUUCUUUGUUGUUUUAGAUUAAGGGGCUAAUCUCACUAUUCAUCACUAUAUAUGUGAUUUAUAACAUACAAUUUUGGGUGGUAAGGAGACAUUUUAAAGCUGGUUUAUGCUUUGUCAACUUACCUACAUCUAAAUUAACUAGUUAUAAACUAGUCAUUAAAUAAGAUAAUCAAGACUAAAUACAUAUUAUUACGUGCUAAUAUUUGUAGAUGACAGAGAAUGCCUAAAGUGAUCUUAAGGCAGUGGGAUGUUACAUAUAAUAUAUAUAUAUAUAUAUGUAUGUAUGCAUAUUAAUGGAAUAGCUUCGAGCUCAUGAUUGGUGGGGUAGGAAUUUUCUCGUCCAUAGAUUGAGGUUGACCCUUCUGAUGGUCCUCCCUAUGUCCUUUGGUGAAGUUACGGAUGAUACGAUAUGAUGAUACAUCCAGUGCCAAUAUCUUGCAUGUUGUAAGAUUUAUUUUUUAAAAUUAAUCUUUUGAUAUCAAACCACUUAUUGUUAAUUGAAUAUCAGUCAUUUUUGGUCAAGGAAUUUAUUUUUUUAAAAAUUUAUAUUCCCAUCAAAAUUUGCUUUAGCAUUAUUUAAAAAUUAGUCAUUUUUAUUUUAAAAUUUGUUCAAAAAAUUCAUAUUUAUUUUAAUUAUAAAAAUAAGAAAGAAUUAAAUUUGUAUGCAAUUUUAAAUCCAACAGAUAAUAUAAUUUAAAAUUUGGAAUUUAAACUUUUCUACAUUUGUCUAUGAACUUAAAUUUUACAGUUUUACAAUAGGCGAAGUGCAUGUUUAUUUAAAUGAAUUUCGCAAACACAUAUUACUUAUUCAAAGUAUUUACUUAAUAAAAAUCUAUUAAACAAUCUUAUUUUUACUGCUUCAAAAAAGUAAUGUGGGAUUUGCUACUCCCCAUUCUUGUGCCAUGGGUUAGGAAAUUGGAUUUAUAAUAUUGAAGUGGUAAACUUGUUCAAAAGGGUCAUUUACUCUGGUUAUUAAAAAGAAAUGGGAAAUUAGUUGAGAUUAACAAGUUCAUAAUAAAAUUAAUCACCCAAAAAAGCUUUAAAAUAAAAUUAAAAGAGUAAUNNNNNNNNNNNNNNNNNNNNNNNNNNNNNNNNNNNNNNNNNNNNNNNNNNNNNNNNNNNNNNNNNNNGUCCAUUCAUUUCAUUAAUUUUACACUCACUAUUUAUUAUUAUUAUUAUUACAAUAGUCAAUUUAUUUUAUUUCCUACAAAAUUAUUUUAUUUACUCUGAUUAUCUGUUCUCUAUUCUACUUAACCAGUUUUAUUUAUUCAGUUUCCUUAUGAUUUCAACUGGUUUUCACUAAUACGUAUUAUCUAAUGUCUUAUCUAAACAUUGGCGCAUCCUUAUUUCCCAAGUAAAUAUUUUUUACUUCAAAUUAUCAUAAUUAAUUACUAUAUUCAUUAAUAUACAAAAUUGUUGAAGUAAAAUAUCUUCUCAAAAAGACUGUAUAUCAAGUAUUAAAUUUAUAAAAAAAAAAAUUAAUAUUAUUUAAAAAUUUAAAUUAAUUUUAUUUAUAAAAAAAAUAAAAUAAUUUAAAAUUAAAAAUAUUAUUAACACCAAAAUAAUUAAUUUUACUUAAAAUUUAAAUAUAUUUGAAUUUUAAUUUUGUAAUAGAUUUAAUAUAAUAUGAAAUGAUUGAAUUAUCUUAACGUAUUUUUUAUUUUUUUUUCAAUAUAUUUUAAAUUUAUUAAUUAACAACGACAAAUUUUUUAUAAUAAUUAUUAAUUUAAUUUAAUUAAUUUACGUUAAUUUAACUAUAUUAUUUUCGUUUAAGUCUUUUUAACACAUAACAAUAUAUAUCUAAUUAAUUAUCAAUCAAAAAUAAAAUUAUGAACCGAUCAAUUUUUAUAAUUUAAUUAAAUUUAAUAUUAUUAAAUUAUAAUUAAAAAAUUUAAAAAUUAAAUUAUAAAUUUACCUUUGAUUCAGAAUAAGUUAAUCAUUCCGCCAAAAAAUAUUUAGUCGAUGACUGUAGAUUGGGCAAAAAUAAUUAUAUUUGAGAGAACUAUAAUUGUGUAAUAAUUAAAAAAAAAUUCAAAUACUAGCAUCCAAGUUUUUACGAAAAUUUCUAUCCAAAAAAUAUAUUAAUUGAAAAUUAAAUAAAUGAAUUACUUGAUUAAUUUUUUUUUCAGCUUCUCUCCCUUCUGCUUGGCUCAAUGUCCGGUUCUGCUUUUUAGUUCUGCCUUUCUGCUCAGCUUACCGCAUUUCUGCUUCUUUUCCAGCCGCACGCAACUUCGAUUCUGCAAGUCUCUGCAACUUCUGCGUCUAGCUCUCUGCACCAGUUCUGCUAUAUUUUCUACAGAUCUCCUCUUCUUUUCCCCUUUCUCUCUCUCUUUUUUUUUUUUUUUCUCUUUUUUCCUUUUAAUAGGCGGCUGCGACAGAGGAGAUGGGGUUUUCUUUUUUUAACCUUUUUUUUUUUUUUCUUCAUGUCCUCUUAAGGCCUCCGACUCUUUAUGUUUCGUAUAUAUAUAUAUAUAUAUAAUAUACACAUAUAUAUAUAUAUAUAUAUAUUUUUUUCAGAAACGACCUGGUUUUGUUGAGUGUUGCUGGGCUGAUUUUUUAUGCGGAUCUGGGCAUGGGCUUCCUCUUUUUUUUCUUCAUUUUUUUCAGCUUUUUUCUUUUCUUUUCUUCACCAUUGUCACCUACAUCAAAAUUUUACUUAUAUAUUAAUUUUUUUAUUCCAAAUGCAUUCUACUUUAUUAUAAAUUUAAGUAAUAAGAACAUAAAAAUUAGGAUAAAAAUAUAGCACAUCAAAAACUUAAUUAAUUAUUAUGUUAUUUGUAACGACUCACAAGUUAAAAUUAAAUAAAUUAUAAAUUAAAUACAGAAAUGAAAUAAUAAAGUUAGGAUUUACAUUCUUUAUACAAUAAUUUAAAAUACCCAAUAUGAUUACAGGAAUAACACUUCUAAAAGAAUAAAUGAAAAGUAAAUAAUUGAUCAUCAUAUCCGCAACCCUCUAGUGGAUUGGGAUUUAGAUCUUGGUUCUCUUGAUCUAAAAUAAUUAAUGAAAUAGUGAGUUAUACUAACCAAGUAAGAAUGUCACACUACUCACCGAUAUAGAAAUUAAGUUUGGUAAAAAUUAUAAAAAAACUUAAUUGAGCUCUUAAUUUAAAUAAAUUCAUUUAUUGCAUACUUAGUAUAACGAGAUUUUCAAAAUCGACCUAUAGAUGUAAUAACACAAACAGCAUCAUAAUCUCAUAUUCAAUUAAACAGAAAAAUAAUUUUCUCUUUUUAUCUGCUUAUUGGUAUCCAUGAGGGUCUAUGAGAAUGUCCUCACUACGCGUAAACCCAUAUUCAACAUUAUCAACUAACCGGCCGUCCUCACACCCCGUCCAGAAUAAGUGCCCAAAAUAUCAUCCCUAAAUACCCCGUCCGAUAUGAGCGCCAAAAUACCAAUUCUCGAUACCCCAUCUAGUAUGAAACAACGUUCACGGUAGGAUUUCCUAUGUACCCAAUCCAUCCACCAUAUCUCAGAAUAUUCAGUAAGACUACCAUUCAUUCAUUCACUUAAUCAAGAAAUUUCUUGUAUAAAUUUAAUUUGCAGUUUCAUAAUUUAACUAUAAGUCACGCAAGACAAGCAAUAUAUACAUUAAAGAAACACAACUGAAUCAUUUUACCAACUCUAGCGUAUUAUUAUGCAUUUAGAACUUUAAAAUCAAUCAAUAAAUUAAAACAGGAUAAACAGUGAUAAAUAACCAGUUCACCUCCAUUAGUAACAUCUAAUUAAUUAUCAAGAUUUUUUAAAUUACGCAAAAUGUUAUAUUAUUUAUAAUUAAAUUUCAAUUCCAUAACUGGAAAUAAGAUGAGGGAUACUUACCUGAAUCAGUGUCCGAAAUACUAAACUUUCAGUUGCGCUUAAUGACGGAUCCUAGCUUCUCUAAACGUUCAUUCAGAGAUUGAAAUAAACUUCAAGUACCUAGAAAAACCCUAAAAAUCCAAAAAUUGGUGUUAAAACUCUUUUUCAGCCAAUUUCAGAAUUAAGGCACGGCAGCAUCGCUGUGCUCCAGCGAUAGCACUACCGCCCGCAACGGCAGUUUGCCUCGAACUGGCCGUUUUCGAUCAGUUUUUGUCAAUUUCAACCGACUUUAUACUCAUCCUUGCGAGAAAACACAUUAAGGGACCUCGGUUGGUCGAAAAAAGUUGAAUUAUCGGCGGCGUGGUUUUCUGAUGCGGUGGCUCAGAUAGCUCAUCUUCGCGAUUGAGUGUUUUUCUUUUGUCAACUUGUGAGAAACAGAAUGGUGAAUAUAAUGGUGGAAAAAUCGCACGAAACAGGGAUCAUAAAGGGUCUCAUCGGAAGCAGUUUUUAGUUUUUUACACGGCGGUGCCGCCCGGCUUUACCCGCAGUUUUUGACUCAUCCGCUGGUCUGUUUGCUCCCAUAUUGCUAUAGAGGAGUUCAAAAUCAAAUUUCAACUAAAUAAAUUUUUUUUUUGCCUUUUUUGGCAGUCGGAGGUGGCUCCGGAGCGACAGCGGGUGGCGGUAUAGAUCUGAAAGGUCUCUCAAUAUAAGUAAUUGUACAAAGUCUUCAAGAUGUGAAUAAUCGCAGCGAGUUCUCAGUCAUAGAUGAGGUAGUUUUUCUCAUAACUCUUCAACUGCCUGAACUCAUAGGCUAUGACAUUCCCAUAUUACAUCAGAACACAACUCAAUCCUAAGUAAGAGGCAUUAUUAUAAACUAUAUAUCCACCUAUCCAGCUAGGUAAGGCUAAUACAGAUGCAGUAGCCAACCACUUCUUUAGUUCUGAAAAACACAUUUCAUAGUUCUCGUUUUACUCAAACUUGACGUUCUUCUUUGUGAGCCGAGUGAAAUAAGCAGGUAGACAGGAAAAUCAUUUCACAAACCUGCGGUAAUAACCUGCCAUCCCCAUAAAGUUACAAAUCUCCUUGACCAAGGUUAAUUUUUCCCAGCCGAGCACUGUUUUAACUUUCUCGAAGUUCACUGACACUCCAUCCCGUAAUAUCACACCCUAGAAAGGUAGUCUGAUCGAAACAGAACCCACACUUACUCAACUUUGCAUACAACUUCUUUUCUUUGAGAACCUGCAAAACUUGAGUUAAAUGGUAAGUGUGUUCCUCUCUACUUUUUGAAUAGAUCAAGAUAUCAUCCAUAAAUACGAUGGCAAAUAGAUCAAUGAAUUAUCUGAAAAUCAUGUUCAUCAAAUUCAUAAAUAUGGCUGGUGUGUUGGUUAGUCCAAAUAGUAUGAUCAGGAACUCAUAGUGUCCGUACCUAGUUUGAAAAGUUUUUUUGGGAAUCUCUUCUAUCUUGAUCUUUACCUUAUGGUAACCUGAAUAGAAGUCUAUUUUGAAGAAGACCUGAGCACUAUGUAACUGAUCAAAAAAGUCACAAUCAUGGAGAGGGGGUACUUAUUUUUUAUCAUGAUCCUGUUCAAUCAUCUGUAGUCAAUACGUAACAUUAAGUCUCAUUCUCCUUACUUGCAAAUAGGACUCUAGUAUUCCAAGGAGCAACACGGUGUCGGAUAAACCCACUGUCCUGCAAUUUCUUGAUCUAUUUACUCAACUCUUCUAUUUCUACAUGACUCAUUCGAUAAGAAAUAAUUGAGAUAGGCUACAUGCCAGACUGAAGAUCUAUGAUGAACUCAACUUUCCUAUCCACUGGUGGUCUGGGAGGUUUAUCAGAAAACACAUUCGAGAAGUCUUGGACUACCCGAAUCUCUUGAAUACAAAUUUCUUUCUUAAGUUUGUGUAUUGUAGUGAAGACAAUCGAUUUAAAACGCUAUGUACUAAGGAAUUUGUUAGGGGAGAAUAAUAUUUAAAACUUUUAUUAUCUUGUAAAUGACUCUUUAUUAGGAGAUUUAAAUAUAAUUUUUCUCGUGGAAAUAAUCCACGAUGGUAUUAUACGUUGCUAACCAGUUCAUUCUUGACAAUACAUCAGGGUCCCCCGUGUCAAUCUCUCUCAGGUCCAUCAUGGAUGAAACCGAGUCCUGUGGAAGAUGGGCCAUAUGUUGUUGAGGAGGGACCUGGUGGCCCUGUAACGGUGUCGAAUGAUUCGACACUGACAGAGGAGCAGGGUUGCAUCGAGGUGGCAUUAAAUCUUAUUGUUGUAGAGGUGGCUCAUAGUGUUGAAGUGGUGGAGGGUUAGACAGUUCCCUCCUCACUUCUUGGCCCACUUGGCAGAGAUAAGUCUCUUUAAAAUCUCGAAAAGCCGAUUGACAUCAUCUCGAAGUGACCCGUUUCAGUAAUGGACUUCAACUUCUCGUGUNNNNNNNNNNNNNNNNNNNNNNNNNNNNNNNNNNNNNNNNNNNNNNNNNNNNNNNNNNNNNNNNNNNNNNNNNNNNNNNNNNNNNNNNNNNNNNNNNNNNNNNNNNNNNNNNNNNNNNNNNNNNNNNNNNNNNNNNNNNNNNNNNNNNNNNNNNNNNNNNNNNNNNNNNNNNNNNNNNNNNNNNNNNNNNNNNNNNNNNCCCACUAUGUGUGAACCCUUAUUCAACAUUGUCGACUAACUGGCUAUCCCCAUAUUCCGUCCGAUAUGAGUGCCAAAAAUAUUAUCCCUCAAUACUCCGUCCGGUAUGAGGGUGAAAUGGGUUGUCCUCAUACCUCGUCCAGUAUGAGCACCAAAAUAUUAAUUUUCGAUACCCCGUCCAGUAUAAGGCAACAUUCACGGUAGGGUUCCCUAUGUACCCAGUCCAUCCACCAUUUCUCAGGAUAUUUAGUAAGGAUAGCAUUCAUUCAUUCACUUAAUCAAGUAAUUUUCCGCUUACAUUUAAUUUUCAGUUUCACAAUUUACUGUAAGUCACGCAAGAUAAGCAAUACAUGCAUCAAGAAAACACAACUGAAUUAUCUUACCAACUCCAGUGUAUUAUUAUGCAUUUAAAACUAUAAAAUCAAUCAAUCAGUUAAAAUAUGAUAAACAGUGAUAAAUAACUAGUUCCGGCUCCAUUAGUAACCUGUAAUUAAUUAUUGAAUUUUUUAAAUUACGUAAAAUGUCGUAUUAUUUAUAAUUAAACUUCAAUUACAUAACAAAGAAUAAGGUGAGAGAUUCUUACCUGAAUCAGUUUUCGAAACGCUAAACUUUUAGUUGCGCUUACUGACGGUCCCUAGGUUCACUAAAUUUUCUUUUGGAUAUUAUAAUACCCUUUAAGUACCUAGAAAUACCCCAAAAAUCCAUAAAUCGGUGUUAAAACUUUUUCAGGCCAAUUUCAAAAUUCUGGCACGGCGGCACCGCCGUUCGCAACAGUAGUUUGCCUCGGACUGGCUAUUUUCAGCUAGUUUUUGUCGAUUUCAGCCGAUUUUAUACUCAUUCCUGUGAUAAAAUACAUUAAGGGGCAUCAGUUGGGCGAAAAAAGUUAAAAAAUAGAAACUUACCGCUGGCGGAGUUUUUCAAUGCGGCAGCUUCGCCAGCUCACCUUGCGGUUGAGCAUUUUUUUUCAGUCAACCUGUGAAAAACAGAAUGGUGAAUACAAUGAUGUAAAAAUCAGAUGAAACGAGAAUCGUGAAGGGUCUCGUUGAAUACAAUUUUUAGUUUUUUCUGCGACAGCGCCGUUGGGUUUUACUUGCUGUUUUCGACUUAUCUGCCGGUUCUUUUGCUUCAAUUUAGUUAUGAGGGUGUUUAAAAUCAAAUUUUGAGCGAAUGAGAAAUUUUUUUACCUUUUUUGGCAGUCGAAUGUGACUCCGGUGCGGCGACGGGCGGCGGUCGGCUCUUUUCUCCUGGGACUGGUUCUUCUUCUCCGGCGGGGGGUUGGCGAAUAGGGUUAGGAUUCAGUGUGGACUGAGAUAUUUAUACUCGUCAUUCUUUAAUCUGAAUUUUUUAUUGUAUUUGAUCUCGACCAUACGAUCGCAUUUAAAGAUGAAAUGAAUCUAUACCGUUCAUCGCGAUUUAAUCCGAACCGUAUGAUUGCGUUUAAAGAGAGAACGAAUUUGAACUAUUCAUCAUGUUUAAUUGCGACCGUCCGAUCGUGCAUGAAAAAGGAACGGAUCUGGACCAUCUACAAGCACAAGAACGAAUCUGGACUGUCCGAUCGUAGGUACACAGUUUGCCAGUGUAGCCUUCCAUGUGGCACCGAAUCAGCGUGUCUUGCCAUGCAAUACGCUCCGGUUCGUCAGGGCUGCUGACUGUAUGGUCCUACGUAGCACAUUUUUUUUAAAUUAUAUUUUGAUCAUCAGUUUCUGAGUUUUCUUUCAAAAAUACCAUUCGAAUCCAAAUUUUCAUCCAUUUUUCUCAAAAUUGUUUUCAAUUUCAUUUUAUACUCUUUUUUUUUUUCUAAUUUUUACUUUAAAUAAAAAUUUAUAAAUUUAUAAAUUAUAUUUCUAUAUAUUAAUUUUUAAUUCUUAAAAUUAAUUUCGAACUAAAUUUUGAAUCCGGUAUUACAUUUUUGAUUUUAUAGGUCUCUGUCUAUCCCAUUGGUUUGCAAGAAGUUUAAAGUUUUUUCACUUGAUCAUUUGACAACUGAUUAGUUGAAGCAACUUUGUACGGCUCUGGACUUUACUAGUUUCAAAUAGCUAAAUGCCUGAAAUAGUGUCAUAACUAUCUCUCUUUUGGCAAUUCUAAACAAAUUUUUAGUAGAUACAGAUCUGGGUAGUAUCAAUUUUAUAAUUUAUAAAUUUAAUUUUGGAAGCUGAAGUAGAAAAUAUAUAUAUAUAUAUAUAUAUAUAACAUAACUUUCUGCAGUUUAAAAUUAAAAGUUGAUAUUUUCUUAAAAUAUAUUUAAAGAGACACUCAUUUGAAAUUAAAAAAAAAAAGCUUAAUUUAUUCCGAAAACAUGUUUAUUUGAAUUGAAAAACUGAAAUGAAAUAUUAACCUAAUGAAAAAAGCUAAAGCAAUUAAAACAAACGGCGUCGUUUGGUUUCCCCCCCGUCUACCAAUACAAUAAUUAGAAAAUUGGAAUUUGUUUUUGUUUAUGAAGAGCUGCUUGCAUUAAUGUCCACCAUAAUUAACAACUUGUUGGCACGCAUUAACAAAUUUAUAUGUAGAAAAUAAUGAGUCCGUGAGAGGUUAUUGUAAUUGUCACAUCAAAUGCUAAUCUGAAAUUAACACCAACCUUAAUUAAUCACAAACCCAACUAAUCAAUUCCUUUAUCAACAACCUCACUAAUUGCUCAUAUUUUGGCCAUAUCCUACAUUCACCCACCUGUUUCCAUUUUCACCCUUCAUAAUGUGAACACUUAAAUAUUAUUCAUUAUGUUAUAUUACUACACUAAUAAUAAUAUAAUUAAUUAUAACAUCUCUAUAAAAAAAAAAAAAACUAAAAAUAUCAAUUAUUUGUUAAUAAAUAAUUAGUCCAUUUAAUUUAAAUAUAGUAUUUACAAAAAUUUAAAUAUUCCAAUUGAUCUGUGCAUAUAUAUAUAUAUAUAUAAUCAAUCUUUUUAUGGGAAUCCAUAAGACCAUCACAUGCAAAUACCAUUCUGCUCAAACAAUCAAAUGGGUAUCCCACAAAAUGCCAUACAACAAUAUAUAAAUUCAAUAUCAAACCCUAAUUCCCCUCUUCAAUAAUUGGUUUUAGAUAGAAAAUCCCCCUCAAAUAAUUGAAACCCUUCUCAAAUGUACAUUUGGCACCUCAUUAAUAAUAAUAGGCUAAUGCGACAAUUAUCUUCCUGGCCACUAAAGGAUUAAGGAUUGAACAAGAGCCAUUAGCUUUUUAAUGCCACAAUAAAUGAAUUAUUAUCAUACAAUUUAUUUUAAACUACAUGCUUAGUUCUGAAAACACCUAAUCCUAGAAAUUGAAUUGUCAUACUUUUUUUUUUUUCCUUAAAAAAAUAAAUAAACCCAAAAUUAAGAUCUCCAUUGCCACUAACAAGUCUUUUCUUUUUUAAAAGUCUCCCUAAUUUCAAAACCUUCUGCUGCUGAAUCUAUUCUGUAAAGAAGAAGAUAAACAUGGGCACAAACAUAUUGUCGGGAGCAUCUCCCCCGAAUAUAGAUUUGGUAUAUCCUUGGCAUCGUUAUCAUUGCACAUUUCUUUUUAUUAUAAUAACAAAAAUUGAAGAAUAUAAAGAAAGAAAGAAAGCGGUGAACAAAUUAAAAAUUUAGGCUAAAAGUAUAAAUGAAAUCAAGUUAUUGAUGGAAGAAAGUGAAAAAACGAAAAAGAAAAGGUAAAACACUCACCUUUUAAUAUAGACAAAAUCAAAGCAGUAUAGGGGCCCUCCCCUCCUCUCCCACUUCACUAUUUUUCUCUAAUCACAACCAUUCAUCCCUGCCGACGGAACACUACUUUACUUUCUGCAGACCCAGAUGCAGGACUUCUGAAAUUUUAGCACAACCACGUCCAUCUUUAUCACAAUUUGCAGACUUUGAGGACUUGGUGGGGGACGAAAAGAUUUUGUUAACUAAUUUCCAGCUCUGCAAACUAUGAGGAGCUCGACACGUUUCCUAUUGUUCUGCGUUCGAAUUCCUUGAUGGUGUUGACAAGCUUGUUCAUGUUAUCGUCGUAGACAUAUGGAAGCUUGUUGUAUAAUGUAACCUCCUUCUUGGCUGAUUCAGGAAGGAAUUCCCUGCAAAGCUCCUCGUGUACUGUUAUGGAGUUGUGGUAGUGAUAGUAUCGAAUUCUGGAUUCUGUCUUGUGUAAUGUCUUGCCAACUACAUUCUCCGACAUGUGAACCCCUGUUGCAUAUGCGUUCUUAGCUUGAAUAGCAUAUUUCCUGUCACGCCGGAUUCCUGUUCUUGAAUCCCUGAAUAGGAGCUUCUCGAAUCCCCAUUGCCUGAAUUGGAAAAUACCCAAAAACAGAUCAGCAAGAUUUAACAUUCUUACCUUAUAUAAACACAUUUGCACUGUACAAUGCUCCAUUCCAGAUGUAAAACAGAGUCCAAAGUCCAAUUCACACCCCAAAGAACAAAGAAUGCAAGGAAAUUCUGGACUGAGACCUCUACUAAUUAGAUUUUUAACAUAAAAGGCGAAUCUUAAAAUGGGCACACACCUAGUGUAAUCUCGAGUGGAAUCGUUCAAGCAGAGGACACUGGACAUGGGAUUUUGCUCAAUUGUGAACUGAGUAUAAUCCGAAAACUCAUCUAGAACAGAUUUCAGACUGCUACCAUCCGGCAAAUAGAUGUACUCGUCCACAUCGAAGAAAAAUGUCCAAUUAGCAGCGUGUCGGUACCGGUGCAGGCAAUCGUUCACUACUAAGAACUGGUUAUAGUAAUAUCCAUCGUACUCUUCCUGCGCCCUGAUAUCUUGAACGGUGGCUCUACCGGCUCUGACCCACGGCUCGAGGACCUUCCGCACCUCAGGCGUUACCCCACCAGCGUCGUGGAAAACAAAAUGGGAACUGGGUCCGAAGAACCAGGCGUGAUAAGCCAUCCAUUCCCUUAUCCUGGAGGCGCUCAGAUUCCCGUACAAGGAAGACCCACAAUAAAGAUACUCGUAUUGAUAAGGAGGGUGGUACUUGGACUCGUUGUAAGAUCCAGGCGCUUCUUCCAAGGCCGUGAACUUCUCGUACUUCCUCUGCGAUUCCCCGUAGUAGGCAUUGAUAAGCAGCUUGCCACCGGCGUUAUCCGCGUUAGGAUUUUCAGCGAAAGUGCAAUUGACGACAACAACUGUAUAAACGCGGCCAUAGCCCCAGUCAGGAAGCAUCUUAUAGGCUUUAGCCCUCAUAGAUGUACCGUUAUUGGAGAUCCAUUCGCACUUGAACCAGGGACGCCCAAACACGUGGAUGGGCUUGGAUGCCAGACCCACCACCGCAAACGUCCUGGGACCGCCGCGGUACGCACCCAUAUGUACGAAAAGGGCUGCCGCGUUACCGUAAGCCUGGAAGACUCGCUUGUUGGGGUCGGUGGGUUUAGAAGCGGAGUAUUUCUGCGCUGCUACUGGGUUAGCCGAAAACGAUGGGGUUGCCGAAUCGUUUGCCGCGAUAAGCGAGGUGGUGGUGGAGGGGGUGGGGGUGGCGGAGCAAGGGCGGGUAGUUGAGAGGAGAUUUUGGUAGUAUGGAGGAAGGUUCCAGACGAGCAUGACGAGUGUGAGUGCUAUCAAUGUGGCCACUAAGGGCUUCGUUUCGAAGCAAAGGAAGAACUUACCGACGGUGGCAGUGGGUACAGUCGCCGGCGGGGAGUCCUUCCUCAUGAUGCCGUCGGUUUCCGGCGAUUGAACAGGCGGUGGUAUAUCUAUAUAUAUAUAUAUUUAAUUAAGAAUACUGCCGUCGAUUAUCUGAACCUCUCUCCUCUCCUGCAACACGGGGGUGGUAUUUUGAUUACGAUGCACACAAACGUCAAAGGAGGGUCAUAGCCGACAGAGAGAGGCCAGUGAAGAAGAGACUUCUCCCUUUCUUCCCACUCCCACUUAAUAUUAUUGUUUAAAUUUUCUAAUUAGUAAAUGUAAGAUUUGAAAGUACGUAAAUAGGUCGCGAUCUCGUUAGAAUUACGAAAAUACCAGUACACCUGUCGCUAUAGUUUGCCAGGGUACUAAUGACUGGGCAUGAAAGCUGGCUCUUUUUGUAAAGCUCUGACGUGGACCCCAACCAUUGCCUUAUGGGACCCCAACCCCUCCGGAUUCUGUUUUAAACGGUUACUUCCUAUAACCUUACUCUUUCCCUAACAAUUAAUGCCGUCCUUCACGGUCCAAUCUAAUUUUACCUCGUAUUUUUACAACAUUUAUGUUCAAUUUAUUUAUGUUUUUACCAUAGUUUUUGGAUUGACUAUCCACCGUAAUAAAUAAUUUUGCCGUUUACGGUUAUUUUCCCCACUGCCCGCUUUACCUCACUUUAAGGUAAAAACUGAAGAUUGGAAAGUAAAACGGAAGUCCUGUCGGUGAGUGACAGAUAAUUAAUGUCAGAUCCAAUUCUACUACUAAAUAUAAUAUUAUUCAUAAUCAUGAAAUAAUAUCUAAAGCUAUUAUAAACAAACAUAUGCUCUUAAAUUUUGUUAAUUACGUGUUUAAAUUAAUAAGAGAAGAGAAAACUAUAAUCUAAAUAUUUACUUAACUAAAGGAUUUAUGGUUAAUGAUUUUAAUAAUAAAUAAAAAUACGAUUUUACAAUAAUAUAUGCAUAUAAAUGAUUUCGCCUAUCUUUAAAAAUAAUUUAUUUUAUAAUGGCUAAAAUAAAAUCGAAAAUAAUUUAUAUUUUUAGUUAAAAAUGAUUUAUAGCAGGACUCCACCAAUUUAAACUCUUCGUUUCCAGCCUGGCUAAAAAUUUCAAACCGCAUGCACUAACUUGCCAUUUAUAAUUAUAACUUAAAAUUGCUGACCAUGACUAAAAUACCCUAUACCACGACAGGUAUAUAAAUUAAAAUCCAUAAAAUAUUCUUUAAAAUUUACAAAUAAAGGCAGAUAUCUUUACAUAUAUAUAUAUAUAAAUUAGAAUGUAUGUAGUCAAAAUUUGUACACUAUCUAAUUUAUAUAUACCCAUAAUAUGCCACACAGAGCACGACAGGGUAUACCAAAAACAAGUUAAGUAAGUAGUAAUUGACUUCAAAAUUUGUUUGAGUCGUGUAUUUUCUUUAAUUAAUAAUUUUUAUUUUUUCAUUUUUCAAAUAAGUAAAUAUUAUAAGGUUAAAUGUAUGAAACUUAAUUUUAUAUGGAUUUAAAAGGGAGGACCAAAAUUUAAUUUGUUGUAAUAUCAAAUCAAGUAACAAUUAUUUCCCAUUGACAGAGAAUUGAAUUUUAAUUUUGGUAUAACGCGGAAAUGCAAAUUAUAUGCGGCAAUAAACAACGUACAUUUAAAAUGGCUGGCGAAGCAAAAAGACAUGAAGUAAUAAUUAGGGGUGUGUGUUUCAUUUUCCCACGGAGGUUUAUUUAUUUAUACGGAAAUCGAAUCUUCCAGACAACUGUAUUCCUUUUAUUUUACUGAUCCGCAGGUAAAAUAAUUUUACCAAACCAAACCAAAGUGUAUACAUAAUAAUUUUCUGGUUCGGACGGUCCAAGGUAAGUAAGUGGUUAAAUAAGAACAAAAAAUGAAUUGUAUAAACAAGUUCAUUUGGUAGAGAGAGCAGAGAAUAGUUAUGUAAUAAAUAGUAGGGAUGGCAUAUUGAUUUAUAGUUAAUUAACUAGUAGUGUCGGUGGUUUAAAUUUGUUGCUUUUCCAAUCAGGGUUCAACAUUCAGCCAUCAAAAUCAUAUAAUAUAAUAUAUAUAUAUAUAUGUCAAAGUCUUAAACAUAGUCUGGAUGAAAAUCACGUGUAUAAGCCCUGUAAUUAAUACGAUACAUUUAAAUAAAUAUUUUCGCCACCAUUAAAUUGAAAAUAUAUUAGUUAUUAAUUUAUUUUUUUCAUAAUUUAUGUAGCUUUGAUUUUAUUUUAUUUAGUGGUGUUGGGACAGAAAAUCAGAAAAUGAAAUUCUGUCCAGGCUAACAAAAAAAAGAUAUUGUAGGACGACACGCCACAAGUUCAGCUGCUACCAUUCAUGCGAUGGGACCACAAAAGAGAUUUGGGAAGAACCGCAUGUCAAUUUAUUAGCGCCGCUAACUUAUUUACUUUUAUUUUCGUGUACUAAAAGUAUUGUAUAAUCAGUUUCAGUGUGAAUUAUUAUUAAAAAAAAAAAUUAAUAUAUAUUAGGGAAGGAUUAACGUAGUCAAGCAUGCAAUGAUGUUUAAAUUAAAGAUAAUUAUUUUUUACCUAAUUAAUUAUGUUGAUGGAAGCCGAACAUAAAAAGGUAUAAGAAAAAAACAAAUUUGUGGCAAUGUAACAAGCGGGUUUAGGAAGGAUUUUGCAGAAGGCCAAAUUAAAGUGGGACGAAAUAAAUGUUUAAACCACGGAAAUGAAAUGUUAAAUGUGGAGGUAGGUCCCACCAUCGUAUGAUGGGGUUUUACGGAGCACGCCCGACAGGUCACCAAGCAGGCCUGCCAUUUGGGGGGUUUUCUCUUCUGCCUCUCGCUGUCGGUAGUUGCGGUAAACCAUCUCCUUCUCUUAACAAAGUGUUUUUGUUCAAUUCCUUAAUAAACCUGAGGGUACAUUAAAAUUGAUUUUUAAUAAAAUAAAAUACCCACCUUCAAAUAAUAAAUAAUUAUUAAAAUUCACUUCAGUUAUUCUCACCAGGAGAUGUUAUAUUAAUUGUUUUCUAGAAAAUCCAAAUGAAUUAAAAGAUAAAUAAGGGAACUACUUUUUAUAUAGGGAAAUGUGGGGUUUAUAAAACUUUACAAAUCCCUCGAGGAACAUUAUUUUGCUUUUUCUUUUGGUAAAAUACAAAAAAAAAAAAAGUGUUAAAGCGUUGAAAAGUCCGAAUUUGCUUUUCUCCGCCCCCAACAGUUGGGUUUUGAUCCAUUUUCGAAAUUAAAUUUUAAUUACCCAUAACUUUAUCUUUUCUUUUUCUAAGUGAAAUUGACUCUUCCUUUAAAAACUGAAAUAAACUUCUAAGUUAAACGCGACACAUGUUUCAAAUUAUAUUUUAAUAAAUUGACUUUUAUUUCUGAUAAAAAAAAAUUUUAAAAAAUGUUCAACCAUUGUGUUGGGAAUUAACUGGACUUGAACUCAUGCCUAUUAUAUCUUCUUCCCAACGAAAUUCCUCUAAUCCGACCCGAAGUAGAAAGCUAGUGUAAAUGGGCUUGUUUUGGGCCGUUUCAUGUCAUUAAGAGUCCAGCCCAGGUGUAGUUUCCUGAAAUACUUUGUAUGAAAAACAACACUUUUGUCCUUUCCGCCUAUGGAUUCAAAAGUAUCUCACAUUCACUCCAAACACUUCCAUUUCUGAAUCUGAAUCUCGUUUUCAAACUUCUUCAAAUUUGUUUCAUCUUCUUAAUUGUUUCCUGUUUUGACACUACACACUUCCAUCACUAACUGCAACUACAAACACUCCCAAACUAUGAACAGUCAAUGUGAUUAGACCAGAUUUUUUUAAACCAAUCUCAUCUCUGUCUUUUACUUCAUGUCAGACACCUGCAAUUCUCGCCAUUUCUCAUGGCUCAUGAAAUCAUGCUUCCCCAACCCCCAUGACACCACCACCCCUCUCACCCCUAUUCUUCAUCCCCAAACCAAUCUCUCUUCUCUCCCAGACGACCUUCUCCUCGAAUGUCUCUCCAGAGUCCCUUCCUCCUCCAUCUCUUCCCUUUCCCUUGUCUGUCGCCGAUGGUCCCGCCUCCUCCUCUCUUCUUCUUUCCUACACCUCCGCCGAACCCUUCACCUUCUUCAUCCUUCCCUCUUCGCCAUCUCCGCUACUGAAUGCGGCCUCUUCGUUGCCUCUCUUCCCUUCCAAUGCGACAAUGCAUCAUGGACACUCCCUCUCUCUCUCCCCAUCACCUCUCUUUCCCUUCACCAUAUUCAGGGAGUUCUCUCACAUGCUCGCGCAGUAGCCGUUGGACCGCGACUAUACCUCAUUGGCAGAAACGCCAUGGUGAGAUACGACACUUGGACAACAACCCUAGUCGCCAGAUCUCCCAUGAUUUUCCCUCGCAAAAAGUUCGCCACCGCCGUCGUCCAAGGUAAGAUUUACGUAGCCGGAGGCGGCGGCUCCAGAGCUGGAGCGGCCGCAGCGGAAGCCGUUGAGGAGUAUGACCCUGAAACCGACAGGUGGCGCGUGGUCGCCCAAGCACCGAGGAAGCGGUAUGGAUGCGUCGGGGCAGCCGCCGACGGAGUAUUCUACGUGAUUGGCGGGUUGAGAAUCGGCGGCGCGGUGGGAAACGAAUCAGCGAGGGGGGGAGCUACAGGGGCUCAGGCGCACGUUUAUGCCAGCUCCAUCGACAUGUACGACGUGGAGGCGCGUGGAUGGCUGAGGAGUCGGGCGCUUCCGGGCGGCGGGUGCGUGGUGGCGGCAUGUGCAGUGAUGGGGCAGGUGUACGUGCUGGCAAGCCACGCCGUGGAGCUGUCUUUUUGGCGAUUCGAGGGACGACGGAAGAGCACAAACGGCGGUGGUUUUGGGGAGUGGCAAAGGAUAAAGACCCCGCCGGUGCCGAGUCAGGUGAGACUGGACAACACGGUGAGGUUCAGCUGUGUAGGAGUUGGGGAGAAGGUGGUGUUGGUUCAGGUGGUGGGGUGCAUAGAUGACUUGUUGAGAAGAAGCGGGAGGAGCCAACAAGGAUUACGAGAGGGACUUGUAUUGGUAUACGAUACGGUGCGCGGAGAGUGGGGUAGAGGGGCGCAUUUGCCGGAGUUGAUGCGACGCGCUGCCUGCGCGUGUGCGGAGUGGUGACAUUAUAAUAUGAUAUUUGUGGGGUUGGGCUAAAUUGCGCCGUAGGUUGUGUAGUGUGGGAAGGAGACAGUAUGAUAUGGGGUGUAACGUGUAACGUGUUAGGGUGUUGAAAAAAGGGACGUCUUGGGGCGAUGCCUCGUGAUUUGUUUUUAUUUAUUUAUUUAUAUAUAUAUAUAUAAUUAAGAAACUGUUUAGGAAAAAUAACGCUGUAAAAAUAAUUAUUUGUGAAUAAUAUUUAAAUUGUAAAAAAUGAUUUACAAAUUUAAUAUAAAAGUGUUUUCAAACGUUUUAAGAGAAACCUUGGCGUCCUACCAAAGAAGAAAAAUACAAGCAAAAAUCUUUAUUUGCUUCUGGAUUAUAUCCUAAAGUUGUUGGGCCGAUAAGGAGGAGCUUUUUAUGUUUUUCAAUUUUUUUUAAAAAAAAAAAAUAGCCCCACCACCCACUGCUUCACCCGGGGGCCUCAUUCUCGACCCAACAACACCAUUUAUUUAUUUAAAUAUUCUUAUGCCCGAGUUUUGAAAUACUUAUUUUUUAAAAUAAAAAUAGCUAACAUUUAUAUAAAAAUUUCAUUAUCUAAUUGAAAUAAUACGUUUUCAAAUUUUUAUUAAAAUCACUGAAAUUUGAAAAUUAAUUAUUUUUAAUUCUAUAAAUACUAAAAACCAGGAUAUAUUCCAAAUUCCUUCCGUAUAUUUGUUGAGGACUAUAAAGAUAAGCUUAAAAUAUAGUUUUAACAUUUUUUUGAAAGAUUUCUUAUCAAUUAACUGAUGCAUUUUUACUACAUACCACGUAUAAAUAUUAUUUUUUGUGUGAAUAAAAUCAUACAAAAAGUAAAAAAAAAAAAAAGUAAUUCAAUAUAAUUACAAUUUAAUUUCAUAAUUCUUACGGAAACAGUUUAAUAAUAUUUUGUUAUACAAGUAAAUUUUUUUAGAUAAUAUUUGGAAAAUAAGAAAAAUGUUAAUAAUGUUUAAGAUUAAAAAUUAAGAAACAAUCUUUAACUAAUUUUUUUAAAUUUUAUUUUCAUAUUUAAUGACAAAAAAUUGAGCCAUAAGAUACUGAACUAUUUACUAAGAAUUACAAAAAAUAUACUUGACAAAAAAAAAAAAAAGUCAGUAUAUAUUUUCUUUUAAAUAAGAUUCUUACUUGUACCUUAAUCCAACUUGGAAAUAAGCUGUUGCAUUUUUUCUCUUCUAAUUCUAAGCUUCUUUUAUUUAUAUAUUAUUUCUUAAAAUUAAUACACGUAUUGGUAGCUUUUUAUAAAGAUUAGGGUUAUUUCCUUGUAGACUGACUUGGGAAAUUAGGAGGGAAUAACAAUUUGAUGGAUAGUCAAUCAAAAAUAGUAUCUGAAAUUAAAUAUUAUGGCAAGAAAGUCUUAAAGAUGUGUUUUGCAGAAUAUUUGGGUAAUUUCUCUUUUGUAUUAUUAGUCCAAUUGAUUAUGAAAGCCACCCAAUUAUAUUUCAUGUCCUGAGAUGCUCUACGACUCAUAAAAACCCUAAUUCACUGCUACCCCAUGAAUCUCAUUUUUAGUUUAUCUGUUGAAAAAUUUAAAAAAAAAAAAAAAAAAAAACUAAGGGUAAAGCUAAUUAUGUUUGUAAUUUUUUUUUUUUUUUUUUUUCACUUUUGAGAGAUGGAAUAUUUUUCCAAGUGUGUGUGUGUGUGAUGGGGGUAUUCGGAUUCGGAAACCUAAUUUAAAAAAAAAAAAAAAAAAAAAAAAAAAAGGCUUGGUGGGUUAUUAUAUAUAUAUUCACAUAUCAUAACUAAAGCUAGAAGAAACCUUGAGUUUUGUUAAUUUCUUCUUCCUCAUCAGAUCAACUUUUUGCUCCAUUGCAGAUUAAUGUUUGCUCUUCUCAUGGAGAAUCAUAUUACUCACCAAGUAUUCCUUUGUUGGCUUUUCAAGAGACACUCUCCAUUUAAAACUAAUAUCCACUAAAUAAUAUCAAUUUAAUUCUAUUAGAUUUUCUUGAAUGGAUUUACAAAAAAAAAAAAAUCAAUUAAAUCAAUUGCUAUAUUUAAAUAUUAUAUAAGAUGUUUAAAAACACUUUAAAAAAUACGAAAAUUUUCAUUUAUAUUAUACACAGUUUAUGAAAAAGAAAAUACUAUUUUUAAAAUAAAUGGAGUGUGUGUAUUAAUAUUUAAAAAUUAUUUAUAUUUUAUUAUGAUUAAUAUAUAUAAAUUAUCUGAUGAAUUUAUUUAUUUUUUUUUUUUUACUUUAAAAAAGGCAGAAAAAAUUGAAGCAUAGGAAGACCACCCUUAAACAAAAAAAACUCUUUCAAUUGAAAACAUGAGCCGUUAAUUUUUUGUAUUUGAUGAAUGCAAUCUACGUAGACACACAAAUAUAUAUAAACACGUGGUAAAUAGAUACUUAUAAUAUAUAAUUUUUAUUAUAAGAAGUGAAUGACAUAAUUAAUGAGUAUUUAAUUUAUUAAUUUCUUGAAAAUUUAAUAAUUUAACAUUUAUAAUAAAUUAUUCACAUAUUUUUUUAUUUAAGAUUUUUAAUGAUGAUUAGUUGGAAAUCAUAUACAAUAAACUAGAUAAAAAAAAUAUUUAUUUAUAAAUAAUUCAUAUUAUUAAAGAGAAAAUCUUGGAAAAAUCUUUCACAUUAUUUAAAAUUAUUAGUAAUAACAGUUUUUUUAUUAUUAAACUUUAUAACAUUAUUUAAAUUGUAUUAGUAAUAUUAAAACAAGGCUUCUAAAAAAAAAGAUGUUAUGGUUGAUCUCUUAUGCAGGGAAUCAAGAGUGUUAAGGUUUCUUGAAAUAAGGUGCCGGGGCAACCUUGAUUUUUACUAAAUUAUAUAUAUAUAUAUAUAUAUAUAUAUAUAUUCAGAAUACAGUUUCAUACUGUUUAGCUAAAUUGCAAUUUAACUAAUGUCAUUAUAAAAUUAACUUAAUUAACAUUAGUUUCUCAUAAACAAUAUUAAAUUAUUAAGAUAAAAAAACUGUAUGAAAAAAUUAUUACUGAUCUCUUUAGAAAUUAGGGUUAAGUAUAUGAGGUAAGUUUCAUAGUACAAGGGUUUCACUCUGGCACCAUCAACAGAUAGGGUGUAGGCGUUGAUUAGAAACAGUGCACAUGGCACUGUGGGGAGGAAGCGUCGUGCUGGCAUCCUCAUUCUCCAAGCACAACCAAAUAUUUAGCAAGCUCCUACUAGUAUAUAUUCUCCAUUCAUAGAUAUCCAACUUCCACUCCUAUUUCUCUCCUCUGUACGAUCGCAAGGUAACCACCGUGAGUAUGAUGAUGAACAAGAACAACACUAAUNNNNNNNNNNNNNNNNNNNNNNNNNNNNNNNNNNNNNNNNNNNNNNNNNNNNNNNNNNNNNNNNNNNNNNNNNNNNNNNNNNNNNNNNNNNNNNNNNNNNNNNNNNNNNNNNNNNNNNNNNNNNNNNNNNNNNNNNNNNNNNNNNNNNNNNNNNNNNNNNNNNNNNNNNNNNNNNNNNNNNNNNNNNNNNNNNNNNNNNNNNNNNNNNNNNNNNNNNNNNNNNNNNNNNNNNNNNNNNNNNNNNNNNNNNNNNNNNNNNNNNNNNNNNNNNNNNNNNNNNNNNNNNNNNNNNNNNNNNNNNNNNNNNNNNNNNNNNNNNNNNNNNNNNNNNNNNNNNNNNNNNNNNNNNNNNNNNNNNNNNNNNNNNNNNNNNNNNNNNNNNNNNNNNNNNNNNNNNNNNNNNNNNNNNNNNNNNNNNNNNNNNNNNNNNNNNNNNNNNNNNNNNNNNNNNNNNNNNNNNNNNNNNNNNNNNNNNNNNNNNNNNNNNNNNNNNNNNNNNNNNNNNNNNNNNNNNNNNNNNNNNNNNNNNNNNNNNNNNNNNNNNNNNNNNNNNNNNNNNNNNNNNNNNNNNNNNNNNNNNNNNNNNNNNNNNNNNNNNNNNNNNNNNNNNNNNNNNNNNNNNNNNNNNNNNNNNNNNNNNNNNNNNNNNNNNNNNNNNNNNNNNNNNNNNNNNNNNNNNNNNNNNNNNNNNNNNNNNNNNNNNNNNNNNNNNNNNNNNNNNNNNNNNNNNNNNNNNNNNNNNNNNNNNNNNNNNNNNNNNNNNNNNNNNNNNNNNNNNNNNNNNNNNNNNNNNNNNNNNNNNNNNNNNNNNNNNNNNNNNNNNNNNNNNNNNNNNNNNNNNNNNNNNNNNNNNNNNNNNNNNNNNNNNNNNNNNNNNNNNNNNNNNNNNNNNNNNNNNNNNNNNNNNNNNNNNNNNNNNNNNNNNNNNNNNNNNNNNNNNNNNNNNNNNNNNNNNNNNNNNNNNNNNNNNNNNNNNNNNNNNNNNNNNNNNNNNNNNNNNNNNNNNNNNNNNNNNNNNNNNNNNNNNNNNNNNNNNNNNNNNNNNNNNNNNNNNNNNNNNNNNNNNNNNNNNNNNNNNNNNNNNNNNNNNNNNNNNNNNNNNNNNNNNNNNNNNNNNNNNNNNNNNNNNNNNNNNNNNNNNNNNNNNNNNNNNNNNNNNNNNNNNNNNNNNNNNNNNNNNNNNNNNNNNNNNNNNNNNNNNNNNNNNNNNNNNNNNNNNNNNNNNNNNNNNNNNNNNNNNNNNNNNNNNNNNNNNNNNNNNNNNNNNNNNNNNNNNNNNNNNNNNNNNNNNNNNNNNNNNNNNNNNNNNNNNNNNNNNNNNNNNNNNNNNNNNNNNNNNNNNNNNNNNNNNNNNNNNAGCUUGCUGGUCAGGUUAUGGUUGAGUUUAUUGGCGGACUCAUUGAAGGGUUUGGGGAAGGAGUUGGAGAAGUCAUUGUUCAGAGUAUGACCAAAUCAAAGACCAAUCCUAACCCUAGGGUUUAUUGAUGAUAUCCAUGGCAGCAGAUAUAAUUUGGUGUUUAGGUUUGGAACCAGCUGGGACAUAUAUACAUAUAUAUAUAUAUAUAUAUAUUUCGUGGGUACGUAAGUUGAUUGUUUUGUGCUGCUGUUCAUAGAUAGGUUGAUGGAAUUGGGGGAGGACGACAAAUUGAGUAAGAUUAGGCAAGAUGGGGAAAUUAUUUUGUAAUUCAGAUUUGUAUAUUAAUUAAGUGUUGAAUUAAGAUUGGCCAAAUUAGUACAUGGUGUACUUUUGUGUGAUCAAUCCAAAUUCAUAUCCAGGCCUGGUGCGUGAAAAAUCAGUGUGGGAAAUAAACUUCUUCUGCCUUGAGCAUCUACAAUACUGGAAUAUAAUUUCAAUCAUGAUCGGUUUUAUAUGUUAUUAGAUUGAACAAUAUUAAUACGUAAUUAAUCACAUAUGCAAAAACAGAAAUACUUGUCUCUUGAUUGAUGUUUACUCCGAUUUGCUUCUCUUGAUCUUCUUGCUAUGAUGAGCUUACUCACGAAGAGCAGCAAAUCAGCAUACACAUUUUUUUAAAGUUAAGCACAGCGAAGUUGCCUUGUUAAUAUAAUUAUGCAUGAUUUUAACCUAAUUCUGAAUCAAGAUAUUAACGUGAAAUGUUUGUAACUAUAUAACUAACAUAUUUGGCCAGCUUUUGUCAACUUUAAAACUUUUAAUAUAGGUGAACACGCUCAAUUAUUCUAUAUAGGCUCUAGAAUUACACCCAAUUGUUUUAUACAUGUUUAUAUGUAAAUAUAUGUAUGAGAAGGGAUGUAAGAGAAAAAUAUAUGGCAUUAGCGUGGGAAUGGCGUUUGGAACCCAGAUUUGCAUGAGAAAGGUUUUGAACAGUAAUGUUCAUGAACCUGAUGGCUUUUGAACAUAAUUAGUUUGGCGUGAGACCAUAAAAUCUAGGAUUCAAAUAAAAAGUUAUAACUUUUCAAGAACUAUUAGCUUUAAUUGAAAAGAAGUUUUGCCUACAUACACCCAGAUUUUAGCACGGACAAGGUCCCACUCCAUUUGCUAAUUGUGUAUACAUAUAUUCUCCACUGCUAUACACACUAAGAUCAAUCUUUCCCCACCCCCAUAAUUGGCUUGUGAAAAAUUAGUUUUUCUUAUAUAUAUAUAUAUAUAUAUAUAUUAAUUUUUUCAAUCAUCAUCUGUUAAAUUUUCAUUAGUAAAAAUUGGUGUAUCUACACGUGGAUAAACUCCUGUGACAUUUAAAUAACUAAACCCUCAUCUGAUAUCUGUAAAGGUUUUAAGAGAUGUUACGAAAAAGUGGUUGGUUUGGUUUGGUUUUAAUUAAAGGUGAGCAUCAAAUUUCAAAAGGAAGAAAAAAAGCUAAGGCCCACCACUUAUGUGAGAAUCAAGAUGAAAUUUUUUUAAAAGAAUUUCUGUUUAGCCAUCAAUCUACAUAUUGAUAGUUAAUUAAUCUAUCACUCAUUUAUACAAUAUUAGUCAGAUCAAUGAAUACGUAUACUGUCAAUGAAGAUAUAAUCUAUAUACAUGUGUGUGAGUGUGUGUAUAUCUGAUAAGUCUGCUACUGUUUCCAUAUCUCCAAUUAUUAGCAAGAAUCAAGUUGGGUGUGUCAUUUGCUUCUUCAGUCACAACGAUUGAACAAGAAAUGAGCAACAAUUUCAUCUUCAACCUCUUGUUUUCUCUUCAAAAUAUCUGUUGAAUCCACUGGCAAAAGCUUUUUCAAAAUCAAUGUAGUGGAAAAAUAUUCCAUUAAUGGGGAUGAGGAUCCCACGUUAUCAAGCGAAUCUGAUCUGUCUUCCCGAUGCAGACAACUGGAGAAAAAAAAAAUGGUUCCUCUGCUAAUUAAUUCAAACCAAGUUGUUCUGUCACAAAGUUAAAGCUUCAAAACAUUGGAUUCAAUAGGCCCCUUCCACCCUUUUGGUCUGGGUAAUAAUUGCCAGAACUCUGUAUAUCUGAAUAUCUUUAUUUAAUUUUUAACACUCCAGUGAACAUGAUUUUAUUAGUCAUUAACAACGAAAUUAGUGCGUACACAACUUAGCUUUCUAUACAUAAAAUCGAAGAGCACAUGGCCUCUAAUACCAUCACGCCCGAUUGAAUUGACAAUAUGAGAUUCUGAUUGUUGUCUCAGGAGAAAAUACUGAGCUAAGCUCUGCCUUGCUUGAUCUGGGUAUGACAGCUGCUUAUAUGUUCUGUGUCUUUCCAAUUUCAUGGCCACCUCCUUCGUGGCUGGCCUUGCAUUCUUCCCUGCCAAUAGCUCCACAAGUACAAUGCCAAAGCUGCAGACAUCACUCCUCUCUGUAAGCUGCCUGGUGAGGAAGUAUUCAGGAUCUAGGUACCCUAGGGUCCUUGCACCAGUGUACUCAACUAGGUUUGAUCAAGCGGAACCAAUCUGGAAACCACAAAGUCCGGUACUUCAGGUCUAUUAUUGUUGUCCAGAGGAAUGUUUGUGCAGUUGAUGUCUGGGUGAAUGAUGGGCGGAGAAGAGUGAUGUCUACAGUUUUGGCAUUGUACUUGUGAUGGGUUUGAUCAAGCAGUUUCUGCUGCUAUUCUCAAUCUAUCUUCCCAAGAAAGUGAAGAAGCCUUGUUGUGAAUGUGACAAUUGAGGGUGCCGUUGGCGAUGAAUUCACAUACAAGCAGAGGAACCUCUGUUUCCAAACGACAGCCAAGUAGUUUGACAACAUUUUUAUGGUUUGAUCUGAGAAAGGAUUAUGAUCUCAUCAAUGAAUUGCUCGAUUUGUUUUCUGGAUCAGCACUCUCGUCUAUGCCUGUAACCAUUUCAAAAAAUCAGAAGGAAAUCCCACCAUGACAUCCCAGAGAGAGAUAAGAAUUUCCUUCGUAUCCUAUUUUGCAGUAACAUCCUGGCUUUUUUCAAAAAAAAAUUAGUGACAGCCGCACCAUGUAUUGUUGGACAACUAAUCAAACCAAUAACUGAAAUUAAAUACAAAUCAUUAAACGGCAUCGCAUCAUUCUUAUGUGCUCAACAAAUUUUAAAAUAAUAUGUUAGUUAAUAUACAGCCUUUGAUAUUCCCAUCUUCAACUUCGAUUCAUGCGGAGUUUGAGAUCAUUAGGCGUUAGUUUUGGAGAAUUGAUCACUUUCACCUUUUUACACCAAAUAUAUAUGUAUAUAAUAAACAAGCCACUGAACAAACUUUGAUUUUUACGUGCAUGUAUUAUUAAUAACAAAUCAUGCUUCUGAAUAGACUUCCAUAAUAUUAUGUUACGCAAUAUCCCAAGUAAAUAUGAUCCAGCAAUCACCCAUGAACAUCUUACAUAUAUUACCAGUGUUCCGAAGUAUUUUUUAAACAGUUUUAGAAAUAAACCGACAAUUCUGCAUUUCCUCUGGAAUUUUUUCUCCAUCAACCCAAAUGGGAGAAGCUAAAAACUGUAUGUAAUUCUUGGGAUGUUGAACUCAAUUGAUGGGUGAAAAAAUUCGAAUCUCUUGACUUUUAACAAAAUACGCAACUGCAGACAUCGACCAUUGAUCCAAAAUGAAAGUGAGAAAAAGCCGAUAAUCCUCUUUAUUUUAAUCUAUGCUUCAACAAAUAUUUCACUAUUCAAUCGUACAGCACUAUAGUCCUAUAUUUGAUUCUACGUUUCAACUUUACAAUGACAAAAUCAAUAGAGUCGUCCUUCAGAUGGAUAGCUUCCAUGAAUUGUAAAAUGUAAGCAAAACCAAGAUUACACAAGCCCAUAAUUUAACUAUCCUAAAACUUUCUCAACUCCACUAUAAUCUCUUAAUAAGUUAAGACCCUUACCUUCUCCCUCAAUCCGGGUUUCCUUCCAACCCCUUUUCUUUCAUGUUUAGAUUCCAUCGAUUGUUCUACGCUGCAGUUCCCCAUCUUCUCACCUUCCACCCAAUAAAAGUUCAAACUGUAAGUUCUUAGGAUUGGUGAAGUCAUGCAAUCCCCUAAUAUUUUGCUGCUAACCAUUGCCUGCCACAUCCCAAAUCUCAUGUUUUCUUUAGAUAGAUUCGCAGGCAGCAUUUAACUGCGCCAGUCUCCAUUGUGCCUGUGCGAGACUCUAAUAUUUUCCUGUAUAUCAAUGGCCAUCCAUUCAAACCAAUUAUUUAAAUUCAAUUCACNNNNN